GGCGCGCGCGGCCCCGCCCGGCUGCCCCGGUAGGUCGAUCGCGAGGGCGCGUCGGCUGGGGAGCAGAGGGAUCCCUGGGCGCUUCCCCUGGGUUUUCUUCAGCUAACUGGCCCGCCGCCCGCGGUCGGGAGGAAGGCUGGUUUGUGCGCUCGCGUCCCUGAAUCUCCGGCCCGGGGUGCUGCGGAAAACGGCCCUGUCAUUAGAGCUGUGCAGAGAAAAGACUGGCAGCCAGAUGUGGACAACCUGCUGGCCGCCCCGCCCCACCCCGCCCCGUCACCUCCAUCCACCCUGCCACUUUUUGCGGGGAAAUAGCCUGGCUUCCUGAGCACUGUGUAAAAGCAGGGCAAAAAGCCUUCUGAGUGCUCUGAAAGGACACGGUAAGGUAAUGCAGCCUCGGUUUGCUGAACUCUAAAGGUCUGCGGGCCACGCUUGUUUGGGUCACCCGGUUUGGCUCAUCAAGGAGGGAUCACGGUGCCGGCUCUGGCCCUGCCUUGAAAUUUCUGCUCUUCUUUUUGGGUCCGGUGGUAUGCGGAAAGUCAUUUAAAGAAGUGCUUGCGGGGCUCAAGCCUAAAUUCAGGGUGGCAGCAGAUGGAUAGCACGGACUCCGGGGAGCUUGGCUUCAAUCUUGAUAUGAAAUAUUGCAGCCAGCAGCCACAGUGCUGACCACCCCUGCUAACGCAAGCACUCUUCCUAGACGUGCACCGAAGUCAUGCCCUGAUCCCCCUUCCUGCUCCCAGCGUGGUCAGUUCUCUGAAAAGGUGACUGUCACAGUGCAGUCCCUUUGCUCUGUAUCUUGUUUGGCUUUUUCCAACCACCAACUUUGGCGCCUAAUCGAAAACUACACUCCUUCAUUCCUUCAUUCCUUCACUGCUGUCUUAAGGCAAACAUAAAGAUCAGGGUGUACUUCCAGCCCAUGAGGUCACGAAUCUGGGCAUAAAUCAAAGAACAAAGACACUUGCUUUAUUAUGCGUUAUUAUUUGUCCACUUAAAGUUCUCGCAGUUCUUGGUAUGACCUUUUAAGAUUCACUUCUUGCCAAAAGUAACCAAAGGUCCAAAACCUAUAAAUCAGUCUGCUUCAAGAAACUCGUUCCUAACGCUCUGUUUUCGCAAUCUUUAUGCAGGGAUACUUUGGUUCAUUGUGAAGAAUUUAACUCCCCCCCCCUUUUUUUGUCUGUGCCCCCUCCCCUUUUAAACCAAAUGGAUGCAGAAUGAAAUUAAGGUGACUAGGUGACUGGGAUACAAUCACCAAGACUUUGGUUUGGAAGGACCGUGAGUGACCACUGGGACAUGCUCCACUCAAUACAAUUAUCCCAUUUUUUAGAAUAAUUUCCAGCCCUUGCUCCACCAAGUGUUUAGCACAUGCAAGGCUUUCAUUCUGUUUUGUUUUGACAGCACUUUUAGAAAACUUUCCUUUAUAUUGAGCCCAAAUCUUUCUCUCCUUAACUUUGACCCAAAUGCCACAAUCUGAGCUCUGAGGCAACGCAAGUGAGGUCUACUCAUGCAGCUGUGGCAACAGGUAGGUGGUGUGUGCUUGAUCAGUCUCCUGGCUGUGUGAAUGUGACCAGGGUGGAGAUGGUUUGCUUGGUGGGAGGCAGUUUCUCUAUGGUUCUGCUCUUGGUCUCAGUUUGUCCCAAUGAGUUGCUUUGGGUUCACUAGUGGGUUAAUUUAGAAACGAAGUUUGGGAAGCACCUUCCUAACCAUUUCCUUAUCAUCUUCCCAGACAUUCAAACCAGUCACCUUUAAGGAGCAAAUGUCUUCUCUUCUUUUGUGUGAUUUGCCAUAAAGUGCUUUAGUUUCCUGCCCCCUGGCACAUUUCUACUGUUACUUCAGUGCCAUAUUUCUUUCUGAACCAUCUAUUUCCGAUCCAAUUUGCUAUUUAGAAAACAUAAAUCAUUAGCUGGCACAUUCCAUGUGGAGUUGCCUAAAAUUAAACAUCGCACAAAGUUUGUACCACAUUUUUUGGCUUUGUUUAACGGUCUCUUUGUUUGCUGUAUCUUGCUCUUGGUAGGUACUCACUAAAUUUGUUAAUGAUUUCUUGUUUUUACUAGACAAGAACCUGGCUUACUUUUGACUGGGAAAAAAAAAAGUUGAGUAUUGUGACCUUUAGGACUCAGGCAGUUUAUAACUGGUUGCUUAUAAAUUCCACUGUUUGGAUCCAAAGCCACAUUGGUUUUUUUGUUCUUGUUUUUAUUUGGUACCAGGGAUUGAACCCAUGGAGUUCAACCACUGAAGCACAUCCACCCUGUUUUUUAUUUUUUAUUUUGAGACCAGGAUCUCACUAAAUUGCUGAGGGCCUCGAUAAGUUCAAAGCCACAUUGUUUAAAAGAAAGAACUGUGACGAUUGGUUUGGUGUUUUAGACCAGACUCCAAAAAGCUACUAUCUAAUGUAGUUCUACCCAUUGCAUUUUUAAAAAUCCAUAAGCUCAGGCCAUCACUGCAACAUAGCUUCCAGAGGAAACAAAUUUUGAAUUAUAACCUGGAACUCCAAGAAAGAAUCCUAACACCUCACCACCCUGUGGAAUCACCACACCAAGAAUGCCAGAAUCUCUGGGGAAGCCUGGUAAGGUGUUCUUAGAGCUGCCAAUGCAGAGCCAGGCUAAGAGCUACAGCUCUGACUGGUUGAGGUUUAUAUAUAUACAUGCAUAAAAACAGUUAACUUAGCAUAAAGAAUGAUGUGCAUUAUGGAAAGAAUAAAUAUUAAUCUUUGAUGAAAACUUUAAAAAAUAUUCUAUUACUGCAGAGAUUGUAACACACAAUUUCAGUUUGAAAGAGGUUAUAAAUACACAAGCAACCCAUAAAUUAAGACCUGGAUGGCAAUACUAUUAGUUCCUUUGCCAGCUAAAACAGACUGGGGUUUUCAUGCCUGUGGGCAUGAUUAAUUUUUCCUUAAUCUAUUGUCCUUUUUAUGAGGUUAAACAAUGUAAACUCUUUUUUCUUUUUCUUCUCUAAAAUGUACUGUGUAUUUACAGUAAAAGUUACAUUUUAGAGCCCAUAUGUGCCUGACCAAAGAAUGAAAAAUGUUAACUUUCUUUAAUACUUAAAGAAUAUCAUGUAAUGAAUCAAACAUUUAUUUUAAAAUGUCUUAUAUCUUGCCAUUUUCAAACCACAUAAUCCAACAUAAGCAUGUUCCAAAAACAAAAUAGACCAAAUAGAAAAGUUUUUUUAAAAGAACUAAUGCAUAAAUGGCUUGUUUCACCUUAAGAUUAUACGGUCCCAAAUAACCUUUGCAGUUAAUCUGCAAACCGAUUUACAGAAAGUACCUUUCAACUGAUAAAUACUUCCUUGUUUUCUUUAGGAUUGAGCUCACUGAAAAUUUUAUAUAACUAUCCAUAACAGAUUAUUCUUAAUUUCUAUAUAAAAGUGAACAGAUUGAGAAAGCUGCUUUCUCUAAAUUAAUCAAAGGAGUAUCUUAACUAUAACAUGAUCUUUACAAAUAGCUGCAGAUUUUUUUUUCACUGUGAAAAACUAAUUGAUCUAUAAAUUAGAAAUUUUUACCUGAUGAUAACAUAAUGCCAUGAAACAUAUUAUGCUUUCCACUUUUGAGACCUCAGAAUUGGAGGUUAUUUCUCUGGCAUGAUUGUGAUUGUUAAGGAAAAGUAGAGGAUUCCCCCCACCCUCCAGAGUUGUUCAAUAGGAAUGAAAACCAGUUUAGCCAACUGAACAGGAGAUUUGCAGAAAUUCUUUACUUGAGAUUCGGUUCGCCUGCCAAACAGCACAGGUGUGCGUUUCAACAGCUCAAGGAUUUUCUAAGCAUAAAAUUUGGUUUCAGUAUACAUUAGCUCCUUCCUAGAUUCCAGCGAGGUGGGGUGCUGCUAAUCAGGUGGGAAGGAACUGAAGUCCUGGUAAUUACUGUAUUAACUAAAAACAACAACUGCCCAGGAGCCAAAGAUUGUUCCACCAAGGUGAAGAAGACAUUAAGACCAACACUAAGAUAUCAAAAGAGCAUAUCUGUGUUCUUCUUCUUUCCAUUUUCCCAUAACACUCUUAGUUUCUGUAUUGUGUACAUGGGUUCUAUGAUAUUUAUAAUCUUCUUAGUAUGAAAACUUCAGACUGAUAUUAGUAGUUAGGAAAUAAACACUCUUAUCAUUGUUUAUAUAUAAAUGUAUAUGUUUAUACACUUUUUUUUUUUUUGCAAAUUAUAAAUAAGCAGUUGCCUUAUUUCGUCAUUUGUCAACCUCUGAGACUCUCCUGUGUUGGAAUGUUUCCACGGGCCCAUUACAAGUUGAUGCCACUUACCGUGUGGAUCUGCUUUCCUACAUUCAUUUGAAACACACUCACUCUCAGUUCUGAGCUAACUUAAGAUCAUCUAGGUUCCUCCUGACCCCUGGAGGGUUCCUCCUGAGCCCCUAGACAGUUCCUCCUAACUGUCUUUCGAUUCCUAAUAAACUUAAUCUAGCAGACAAGCACCAGGGAGAGGAGCAAGCAUUUCCCUCUAGGUCCUCACUGCCUUAUUUUCUAUCCACUGUCUCCCUCCUUGGCUAUGUUAAAAGAGGGUGUAUCGAUAGGGGUACGUGGAGAAAAUGUUUGAAAGGUUUGUACAUGUAGUCUUAUUUUCACUUUUUUUUCCCUUGAUACUGGUGAUUGAACCCAGGGUCACUUAACCACUGAGCCACAUCCCCAACCUUUUUUAUAUUUUAUUUAGAGAGAGGGUCUUGCUGAGUUAGGGCCUCACUAGGUUACUGAGGCUGGCUUUGAACUCAAGAUCCUCCUGCCUUAGCGUCCAGGCAUGUGUCACCACCCCACCCUUUUUAAUAUUUUAUUUUGUGACAGGGUCUCACUAACUUGCUUAGGGCUUCAUUAAAUUGCUAAGGCUGGCCUCAACCUUGCAAUCCUCUUGCCUCAGCCUCCCAAGCCAUUGAGAUUAUAGGCAUGCCCUACUGUAACUAACUGGCUUAUUUUCACUUUUUAGUAAAAUUAGAAACAUGCUAAAGCAAAGAAGUUCAGACUAUUUAUGAAAGAAAGUGAGGUGGUGGAGAGGGGACAGACAAUGGGCAUAAGAGAAAAUCCUAGCUCUGUAUCGAUUGGUGCAGUCCACCUAACUUGGUCAACAUCACUUCUUCAACUAUAAAGCAGGAAUGAAAAUAGCUCCUUUAAAGCUGUUGUGAGGAUUAGAGGCAAGGCAUGUAAAGGUUUGGAAUGUGGUGGAUGCUCAGUAAACAACGGAUGUCAUUCAGUUGACUCAUGCUUUUCAUUUCCCUGGGUCUUUUUAAAGCUUUAAAAUUCCAUUUUCCAUAAAAGUGGUAUUGAUCGGAGUUAGACCCACUUGCAGUAAGUAAAUAUGGAUGAACUGUGCUGCAGAUAUUCAAAUAAAAAGGCAGAAAGUGUUCAGUAGAGUGCUAACAAAGGAGAGGUUGCUGCCAAGGGUGAGAGCAGAGGGAGUGGAGGCAGGAGCAGGGAGGCAGGUGGGACGGGGCAGGGGUGCCUAAGGACGAGAGGCGGAGUGAGGAAAGAAGCUGAGUUCAAAAGGUCGAGCAAUCCUCCUGCCUCAGCCUCCCAAGCCACUGAGAUUAUAGGCGUGCCCUACUGUAACUAACUGGCUUAUUUUUACUUUUUAGAAAAAUUAAAAACAUGCUAAAGCAAGGAAGUUCAGUCUAUUUAUGAAAGAAGGUGAGGUGGUGGUGCUCUUGUCCCAAGAGCAGUGGAUAGACAUACAAGUACCAGACAAGUGCUAACAGAAAUGUAAGGAGAGAAAAACGGCUAAGAAAAUAAUGGAUAAAGAGGUGGGAAGUCAGAGGUGGGUGAAAGACAGUAGGAAAAGAGGAGAGACCUCUUACAGCCUUCACUCUUCCGCAUUUUUAGGAAGGGGUAGUAAGCCACACAGGUAUUGCCUCUCACCAAAUGGAGAGACUUUCACCUGUCCCUGCCCCUCAGUGGAACUGGAGCAAUGCUUGUUCCAAACUACUCAGGAGUCCCAGGUGUACCACGUGGCUCACUUCAUAGGAAAUUAAAAAUUAAUUCUUUCAGGAUCAAAAAUACAUGGUCUUAUAAAAACAUACCAUAAACAAAUCAUUGACUUUUCCUUCAAAAUGUAGAUCUUCCCUUACUUUCAUCUAAUAAACAUUGAUAUUGGCAUCUUUCAGGUAAGUGGCCAUCCUAAGCAGAUGUGUUCCAUCCACAUCUACUGGGUGUAAGAACACACCAAAAAUGAAUUAAAACAAUUUUAAAUAACUUGAUUUACCCUUAGUUUUCAUCAGAUUGCUUGUAUCAUCCGAAGUAUUUGAACAGGGUACCUAAUUUCCUUAUUUCCAUGUGAGUUUAGAUUUUGCAGUAGGGGAAUUACGGUUCACUAAUACUCUGUUUAACAGUGUCCUAGGAAUUGCUGACCCAUUAUAUCAUGGGUUUGGUCUUUUUUUUUUUUUUUUUUUUUGGACUAGGGGAUUGAACCAGGGGUGUUUAACCACUGAGCUACAUCCCCAGCUCCUUUUUUGAGAGGUAGGAUCUCGCUAAAUUGCUGAGGCUGGCUUGGAACUUGGGAUCCUCUGCCUCAGCCUCCCAUUUUGCUUGGAUUGUAGGCUUGUGCCACCACCCCCAACAUGGAACAUUUCUCGUAAAGUGAGUGUGUCUGUGUGUGUGUAUAUGUACAUGAGUGUGUGUGUGUGUGUGUGUGUGUUGGGGUUCAUCUCCAUGGCGGGGGUUCACCUCCAUGAGCACUUGCUCACAUAACUCUACAGUUCAUUUCUCUUUUGCUGUCAUUUCUAGAACAGUAUUAGUCACCAUUGAAUCAAUCCCGAGUACAGCAUUGCACGCCUGUAGCUCCAGGUGUCCUUCCACCCGCUGUGAAUAUGGUGAACAAAACAGAAGAAGCCCAUGCCCAAUGAGGCUUAUGAUCCCCUGGGGAGACUAGGAACAGGUAAGAAUUUGGUAUCAUAGGUCACAUGUGCUGAAGAGAAAAAUAGCUGGUGGGGGCUAUGAGGUAUAUAAAGGGGGUGUUUUUAAAAUUUUAAUUAGGUGGCUAGGGAGCCGACUCUGGGAAGAUCACUUUGUGGUAAAGGCUUGAAGAAAUGAGGGCAUUGAGCACGUGGAGAGCUUUAGGCAGAACAUUCCCAGAGAGAAGAGCACAUUGAACUUGUCCCAAGAGCAGCGGAGAGGCCACUGGAGAGGUCAGUGGCUGCAGCAGAGAGACUGAAGGAAAGAGUAAGAGAAGAGGACAGAGAGGUAAUGGGCCUCGUAUGUCUAACCAUGUGUGUGUCUGUUUUCCUGCAUGUACUGCGUGUCUACAUGUGUGCAUGUGCCUAUGUGUCUGUGUGCCUCUGUGUGUCCAUGUGUGUCUCUUGUGUGCGCGUGUGCAUGGGUGUGUGUUGGGGUGUAGGUUUGUGUAGCUCGCACAGUCCUAACAACAGCUUGUACUCUGAGUGUGAUGAGAAGACGCUGGAGAAGGGGCGUGACAUCUGACAUGUUUGGGCACUUCUCUGAGGACAGCUGGAGGGAGGCAGCCUAGAAGCAGGAUGGAGGCUACUGCAAACCUCCAGCUGCGUGGGGAGGCAGCUUAUCAGCUGGUGAUGUCUGUGUGGUUAAAAAACGGCCCAAUAUUGAGUUUGGAUAUAUUUUGAGGGCAGAGCUGACAAGAUUUGCUGAGGAACUGUGACAUGUGAGACAAGCCAAGGAAGACCCCAGGGUCUGGGCUUCUACUCUAGAGGGAUGCAGCUGUCUUUUACCGAGAUGAGGAACCCUGUAGAGAGGCAGGGAUAGGGCGGCCUCAGCACUUCUGUGGGAAACCUGUGGGUGUGAGUUCCAGUAGACAAUCAGGAGGAGACGCCGAGAAGACAGCUGAAUCUGCAGAUCCACAGAGGGACCUCUGAGGGCCACCUGUGGUCGGGUGGUGUGUGACAUCGGGAGACUAGUGAGAUCCAGGGCUGAGUGGAGACAGAAACAAGAUGGCCCAGGGGCCGUGCCCUGACUUCUUCCUCCAUUUCGCAGCCAAGGAGGUGAGGAGGCGUGAACAGAAGAGGGGGAGAAGGGAUAGCGCCCACAGGGGAGAUCCCAGGGCCAGAACCCUGGAAGCCACGUGAAGAAACUGGAUUAUGGAGGAAGGUGUGGAGCCCAGCCCUGGUGAGACGGCCAGCUGCAGGAAGAAGAGACCAUCUAGCCCUUGGUGGCCUUGGGGAGAGCUCUUCAGGUAGAGAGGGUGGGAGCAGGUUCAUUGACAAGAGAGGGAGAGGUGGAGAUGGAAAAACAGGCUCCCUUCAAAGGGAGGAGAGAGGGGUUUGGAACCUGGAAGGCAAAGUGGGGCUGUGAAAAGCAUUUUAUUAAGAUGAGAGAAAUCACAGGUUAGGGCCUUCUGGAGCUUGGAGACUGGAGUAUGGUGUCCACGCCAAGGACCACACAUGGCCAUGGCCCAUUCCAUGCCUGGCUUCUCCCACGGAGUACACCCACGUAGGUUAGCUCCCCUAAGAAAAGAGUUCAGAUGCCGCUUUUCCUCUACAUUUAUGUGUACUUGAGUUUGUGCUAAGAUAAAUCCCUUAGUUUGACAUUAUUUAAAAAUCAAUAUGACAAACAUCUUAUUGUUCUAGAAUUACCAGAGUUAGAAAGCACUAUUUAAUUCAACAUUUUCAAAUGAGGAAACUGGAAUCCAAAGCGACUUCUUAAUGCAUAUGAAGUCAUAAAGCAUGUAUUGGGGUAUUGUGUUAACUUAACACUUUGUAUACCUCAUUCUUCAAAAAUGUGUGGAUUAAAAAAUCAUCUGAGCUGGGCACAGUGGCGCGCGCCUGUAAUCCCAGUGCCGCGGGAGGCAGAGGCAGAGGCAGGAGGAUUGCGAGUUCAAAGCCAGCCUCAGCAACAGCAAGGCACUCAGCAACUCAGUGAGAUCCUGUCUCUAAAUAAAAUACAAAAUAGGGCUGGGGAUGUGGCUCAGUGGUCAAGUGCCCCUGAGCUCAAUCCCCAGUACAAAAAAAAAAAAAUCUGAGUUUAGUGCUGAAGAAAAACAUGAAUUUGAAUAAUAUCUAAAAGUUGAAAGCUAUCAUAUUUCUCCUCAAAGAUAUAUUGAUGCUGAUAAAAUACAAGUAACUCACUAGGUGUUGUGGUUCAAGUUCAUGUGGAAUCAUCUCUGUAAAUGACAGAUCAUGAAAAUGACAGAACAUGAAAAGAAAGGAAGUCAUAAUAGAGCUGAUAUGCCGAUGAUAUGGCAAAGCCUAGACACACCUCUCUUUUUGGUUCAAAGCAAUAGCUGUUUCUAUGCUUAAUGUAGGGUUUGCGAAGAAAUAAUAAAAAGAGCUAGAGAACAAGGUUAGCAUCGUGUUUUGCCUGGGAUUAUUUCAAGUGCCACACCUCUAGGAUGUCUCUCGUAUUAAUCUCUCUGACAAAGGAAUAGACCCUGUGUCAAAUACUUCCUCACCAUACAGUCUGUCCACCUAUAUAACCCUAUUGUGUUAAGCAGUGUUGCUUUUUCCAAUCAGAGCUUCUUUUGAAAGAUUAUAUUGUAAUUUUUUGACACAGUUAAUCAAAGCAGCCAAUGAAAUUAAGCAAACCAGUAUGUUCUGUUUGUCCUCAAGUUUCUGGUUUAUAACUGUUCAGGAGAAAUGUAAAGAAUAAUAUGCUGUUAUUUCAUGUUAAUUUCCAAAUGUAAGCUGGGCAUGGUGGUGCACACUUGUAAUCCCAGUGACUUGGGAGGUUGAGGCAGGAGGAUCACAAGUUUGAGGCCAACCUCAGCAACUUAGGGAGACCCUGUCUCAAAAAGUAAAAAAGAGGCUGGGGAUAUAGUUCAGUUGUGUAGAGCCACUGGGUUCAAUUCCUAGUACCAAAACAAACUAAUAAUUUCCAGAUGUAACUGAGAGGAUCAAGUGAAUUAGAACAAGGCUAUUUACAGAACUAGUAAUAUAGGUGUUGGAUAAACAAUUGUUGAAUUCAAUUUUAUUAGUCAAAAAGGAUAAAUGUACUUAAAAUAUCAAAUAGAACAUUAAGUAUAAAUUCUCAAAAAUAUAUGUAAUUGUUAAUCUUUGUUCUUUUCAAAAAAUAAUCUAUCUUAUUACAAGAAUAAAUCCUUUUAAAUUAUAACCUUGUUAUGAAUAUGAGACUGUAUUGGUUUAUACUUCAGAUAAUCAAAUUAGUUCUCAAAUCAUCACUCUUUUUUUGUCAUUUAAGUCCCGUUGUAUACACAGGUAUAAAUAUUGUAUUUAUCACUGAAGAAUUUUCUACAGAUGGUUUGGAAUCAUACAAUAUGAAUUUAGAAUGAUGCAGCAUGUUUUUCUAUUUGUUUUGUUACCUAUAAUCUACUUGGUAACUUCACUCACAGAUUAAAGCUGUUGUUUCUUGUCCUCUUUUCCCCAAUAGCUGAUGAAUUUUGCCUUUGGAGUCACUUGUAUUUCAUUGAUUUAGGAAAAAAAACAAGCUGAACUCUCAGUAGCAUACUCCUCCUCAGUGACACCUGUCAACAUGGAGCUACCCUUUCUUCCUCAGUACCUGGGAAUUUCCAGAUGACUCUCAGUUUCCAGGCAGAAGAUUUUUUAGAAGGGUGGAUUUCACAUCCCCACACAUACAGGUGUUUGCUUUACCUAAUCCUGGGCAAAUGUGAAUGUGGCUGUUUAUUGAUCAUGACCUUUUUUCCUUUUUUUCCCUGUGGCCAUGACUGUGACUUGGAUAUUUGCCUCUAACUUUUCUGCAUUAUUUAGUGAGUGCAGUACACAUAUUUCCAGUGCAAUAUGUUUGUUUGUUUGUUUUCCUGGCCAAACCUGGCCAAAAACAAACCACCCUUGUGACUAUACUUCAAAAUCACUUUGACUUUGGAAGUACAUGCAUUUGUAUUCUAAAUCAAAUAAUCCUUGUAUACCUGAGAUAACAGAAUUUAAAGGCUGUUAUAUCCUCCAGCAGGUUGUAAGGUAACAGAGACAAAAUACCAUUUUUACAUAGGUGAUAUAUAAUGUCACACAGGCAAUUCAGUCUUGGGAGUGUGGCUUUUUCCAAUCAUUAAAUUUGGUUGCACUGGGCUGGCAUUUAGAGGCCCUGACAUCUUGCCCUUUCAUUGCCUUUUUACUAAUCUACAUUUUCUUGGGCAAAUUUUUACCUGUCUUAAAAGUGAGUGUUGGAGAAAAAUGAGUGGGCUGUGAAAGAAAUCUCAAAAACUCUGCCUCGUUUAACAACAGAGGAGAAAGUUUAAAAUGCAGUGGGAGAAAAUUGGUUCUUCCUCCCCUUUGGUACCAACACCGGAAAAACAAGAUGAUGUGGGGAGAGAAAGGAAAAGAAAACCCGGAGCAAUGGAGGCCCAGAUGCAGAGCCAAAGUGGACACACAGAUGACAGGAGAGUUAGAGUCACAGAGAGGGCUCUUUCUCCCACCCCAAACAGAGAUUCGCCCUUUGGUUCUCCAAGUCUGCCUGAGUUCUGCCCCUGUGUCCCAGCUGCCCCAGUCUCUCUCACUUGUGUCACUUGCUUACCUUGGUCCCUUAGAAGAAAACCCAGUAACCUAUAGCCUGGACACUGCAAAUUCUCUCUGCUCCAAGUGUCGGGAAGGAAAAGCAGAAGGAAGAAUGAGUUUGGUUCAUUUUAUGCAUAUGGCCUGAUUUCCUUUAAAUCUAUUCGAGGGCAUUGGUGCCUGUGUUUAUUUUCAUGGUUGGAAUUAAGCAAUUUUUAGAAGGUCCCAUGGCAGGUUAAUGACAGAGCCAGAUUUAGCAUGCACAGCUGCUAACUUCUCAGUGUGGGUCCUGGGCCACGAGGCCACGUGGCCAUUCCACCCGGUGUUUCAAAUCACACACUUGUCAACUGCCAGGAACUUUCUAUGCCCAUUGUGUGGGCAAACUUUAUUAGACCUAACAUGUCAGAAAAAGCUGAACAUAAAAACCUCAAAACUUGAAAAAUACUUCAUAUUACUUUUAGUUCUAUUAAAAAAAAAGUUCACAUACUAGUAAGUUAGUAUUGUUGGUGUGAGUGAAAAAAACAAUAUUCCCCCCCCCACCCCCGAACAGAACCUCCCUCGCUAUCUCAGUUAUGCAAACUAUGGACUCAGGCUUGAUCAUAUUUUUACAGGCAAUAAGGGCCACUGAAUUUAAGAAUUAACAUCAUUUCUCAUUUCCCAGUCAGAGCCACUAGCCUGUGUGUGUGUGUGUGUGUGUGUGUGUGUGUGUGUGUACACACACACAUAUAUAGACAUUUUUUUGGGGGGUGAUACCAGAGAUUGAACUCAGGGGCACUCGACCACGGAGCCACAUUCCCUACCCCUAUUUUGUAUUUCACUAGAAUCAGGGUCUCAGUGAGUUGCUUAGCGCCUUGCUGAGGCUGGCUUUGAACUCUCAAUCCUCCUGCCUCCUCCUCCUGAGCUGCUGGGAUUACAGGUGUGUGCUAUGAUUUUUGCUUAUUGUUUUUUUUUUAACUUGUUGCUGAUAUUUUUAAAGGAUACAUAUUUUUCAUGUAACAACUAAAAAUAAUCUCUUGUAAUUAAUAUAUAUCCUCUUAGAUUUCAGUGAUAGAUAGUUCUUAGAGGUAAAUCUUUCGGAGAGGCAUUGAAACAAUGCUGUAUUCCUACAUGCCUCAGUAGAGACCCUGAAUAGGAAAACAGGUUCAAACCACUGUGUCGCUUGGGCCUUUUUCUUCUGUGUUGUCUUGAGACAUCCCUGAAGCUUUGACACCUCUGUACCCUUUACCUUCACACAGCUUGUUUUUUUUUUUUUUUGGUACUGAGGAUUGAACCCAGGGCCUUGUGCAUGGUAGGCAAGCACUCUACCAACUGAGCCAUAUCCCCAGCCCUAUCCUCACCCACUUUCAGCAGUUGAUUGAUCUACCUUCUUUUGUUGGAGGGCAAAAGAAAGUUUUAGAAAUAUAACAAAAUUUGAUAUUAUGACACAAUUUGAAUAUUUUAAAAAAUUGCCUCUAGGAACAGACGGGAAGGGGUUAGAGUUGCGAUAAGGGGGCACAGGGAAGAGAAGUUAUGCGUCCCAAUAAUCCAGAAAAAAAAUGUGGUCCAGACUCUGCCCUAGAAAAGAUGAGAUUCCUUUAUAUGGUGAGAAAAGGAAGAAGCUGUGAAAUGAGAAUUUGCAGCUGAACACACACACCGACCUUGUGCAUGAUGAAGGAAGUUCUGGCCAGUCACUAGUGAAAUCAAUGGGAUGAAUCAAAGGACAGCACUCCACAACCGUAUAAGGAAAGUGAGUACAUAUUGGUAAUUCAUAGAAAUAAUUUGGUAAUGCAUUACCGAUUGGUAACCAAAUGAAAGCUGGAAAUAAUGCUUGGUUCUUCCUGUCAAGUUGGUUCCCAUCAAAAAUGUAUACACAUCUUCUUCAAAGUGACUUUAGACAGAUGCAUAAAAAAGGACUAUAAAUCUAGGCUGUCUUCUUGUUUAUUGGACAUUGCCCAAGAGGAUGUGGUUGUUCAGGUGCUAGUUAAUAACUGCCAUUGCUAAUCAAUUAGCUGCUCAGGUUUCAGUGAUCCUCUGCUCUCAGUUGGCUUCCUUUGUAGGGCCAGAAGCCAAUCAAAAUAGUGUGUCUUCCCUGGACAAGUGUUCAUUGUUACCACGUACCAGCAAAGUACUGGGCAGGAAGGUACACUAGAUGGAGAGACUGACCUUGGAAUCCAAGCCAGCUACAGAAAGAAGCAAGAAUAUGCGAAUUAAUGCAUAGGACCUUCAGAUUUGGAACUGCCCUUCUGUGGAAUGAAUUUGUGCCUUUAUCUAUGCAUUUCAUUACAGAAUUUGGCUAAGUGAACUUCUUUCCAGUGAGGGGUAUAUAGGUAUAUUGCUACCUAAAUAGGUAUAUUAAUACCUAAAAUGGCUUCCUCUUUGUAAGUCCUUCCAUUUCUACAACUUGCAUUUGGGAAACUCAAUAGGACUUUAGUAUAUCUCUGUCAUAUCAUUCCCCUAAUAAAAUGCAUAUAAAUUAUGAUGACACCAAAGCUAAAACUGAGAUUGGAGUUCACAUUGUUCCCUCUAGUCACCAGUCAUAGUGUUUUCUGCAUGUUGGAGGAAGGGUACAUCCUGGGUAGCUGCUGAAAUAUGAAUGAUUUCCCUUGUGGCAACACACAUACACACAAACUCCCCAAACCCAUGAGCCGUGAGCCACCCUGCAGAGUCUGAACUGUAUGACUUCGCUAGGGAUCCUUUCAUCUGGGGUAGAAUGGAAAUACAUCCUAAAAUUAGAAGCAUGUAAACAAACUGGGUUUAGUUUUUCCACUUAAUGUUUAAUUUUAAAAUAUUCUAUCUAAUUUGAUUUGGUUACCCAAAAUAGAAAAACCUUAACUUUUUGUGUCUUUCCUUCGGUAAUAGUCUUAGCUCGUCUCUGAAACUGCUCUGAUGAAGCAAAGAGCCCUUACCUAGCCUUGGACAGGGCAGGGCUGAGUUCAUACGCAUGCAUGUGCCACAUGUUUCUGCACUAAAUUACGGCAGCUGUGAAAUUAAAACACUACAAAGAGCAAACAAAUUUUAUGAAAGACUGUACAAUAUCACAUGAGAAAUUUGCGCCCCCUAUUGGAUAAAACUGUUAAGAUAUUUAAAUGCGAACUUAAAAAAAAUGCAAUCGAUGGCUUAAAAAUAAACAGUUUUGUUGUAAAGACCGUGGGAAAGGAGAAGAAAGAACAGAUGUGAGAGACAUUGCAAAGGUAGCGUGAACAGGGCUGCAGGGCGGAGACUUUGCACCUGAGAAAGAAGACGACAAUAUGAAGGGCACAGAGUUAGGAAUCCGUAGUUUUCUUUUAAUCAAACUGUGUUGGGAAAUUUUACCCAAUGUUAAACUAUGAAGUACUGUUUCUUAAGGCCAAUCUUAUCCAAAAAGUGGGAAAAGCAAAUGAAAACCCUCAUCUUCCUCAUGAGGCUCUAAGUUUCAUACCAGUAAGGACAAAUUUUCCCUUGGGUGAUCUUUCUGCUUGGAUGCAGCAGAUCUCAAGGACUGGUUUCUUACAGAUUUAGGAAAAUACACAAACUUAUUAAAGAUCUCUUUGGGGACGUAUUGAAAAUGUUCAUUUUUCUUUUUCAACCAAGCAUCGUGACAGAGUUGUCUCUCAUUAGAAUCUCUCUUUCUACCUGCCCACCCUCCUCUAAACCCACUGCCAUCUAGUUCUCUGCCUUCCUCCAUCCACUGGAACAAGUGGGUCACAAGUGGCUUUGCAUUGUCUGAUUUAGUGGCCAUUUCCCAUUCCUUAUCUCGGUUGUUCUCAAUGCACCUUUUGACACAGUUGCCCAGUUCCUCCCUUGUGAAAUACUUUCUUCCUUUGCCUUCUCUGGCCCUUGUUCGUGAAGUCUUUUAUGGUGUGUGUGUGUGUGUGUGUGUGUGUGUAUAAAACUGCUUUAAAACUCUUUUGGAAAGAGAAAGUCUAUAAAGCCUUAAAAUGCUAUUUUAAUAUUGAUAUGAGUUAAUGAAGCAAGAAAUGCAAAAACAAAAUAGUAUUAGGAUAAUUAAAGUUUACUGAUUGCAUGUCAAAGAAGAUACAUGUUGCUCAAAUGAUCCCUCUGGUGACCGUGUAAUUAGGAAUGGACUCAAAUGCUCUCAAGGAGAGCACAACUGUACGCAGAAGCUGUAGAACAAAGAACCUUACGUUAGCUCUGGGUCGGGGAGAAGUUCCUGAGGAAAGGCCUGGAGCUGAGGCUUGUGGAAUGAGGGGGAUACUCACACAGUGCUCAGGGGAGAGCCUUACAAGAGAAUCAAUGAUCUGGGUAGGGACUGUGGUGGAAGUAGGUGAGAGAGAAGACAGGAUCAUUGUGCAGGGAGGCGUAGGCUGGGGCUAGCUGCUCCCAGUGCUGCUGUUGAGCUCAUGGGAUCUUAUCUUUAGGCCUUAUUGUGCGUGGGUGGCCUUUGCUCCACUGUUUCUGGCUGUCCAGUGGAAAGCAUGUACCCUUCAGGUAAGAGCCAAGUCUUGGGCAUCUUUGUAUCCCACACAGGAAGUAAAUGCUCAGUGAAUAUUUCUUAAUUUAUUUGACCUGAAAACUUUUCCUCUGCAUCUUCUUAUCCCUGUAUAAUUAUCAGAGGACACUAAAACAGGUAGGUAUGUUGAUUUCUCUUUUAACAGAUUGAACAAAUUUGUCAUUUAUUGUUAAAUGGCCUCAUUAGAAGGCAAUUCUGUGAAAUGUAUUGGGACAGUGGUACAUCCAAAGAAAAUCAGUCCUUUCUCUUAAAAAUCUACAUCCUUUCCUCCUUACAUUUGUAUAAAUAUAUAGCAAGGUUGAAGGAGUUUUCCAGUGAACAUCCAUAUUCUAUGCCCAACACUCAGAUUCUAGCAUUAAACAUUUGACUGGGUUUAUUUGCCUGUUUUCUCUCCUUCCUUUCCUCUAUUCAUCCUUUAAUCCAUUUUACUUUUUUUUAACAUUUAAAAAUAAAUUGUAGGCAUUAGUACAAUUUCUUCUAAAUGCUUCAAUGUGUAUAUUACUAGCUAGAUAUUAAUAUUUAAUUUUUUCUUGUGAUGUAAAAUUUACACAUAAUAAAAUGUGUAAGUACUAAGUGCACACAGACUUUAGACAAUGCAUAUAUCUGUGUAAAUGAAACAAUCUGCUGUCAAGAUACAGAACAUUAGGUCUCAUACCCUUUCCUAGUUUUUCUUCUUUUUCCAUAGAUUAGUUUUGUUUGUUCUAGAAUUUAUCUCAGUAGCAUCAAAUGGUAUGAAUUCUUUUGUACAAGGCUGUUUUCACUACUAAAAUCUUAUUCUGAAGCUUCAUCCCUGUUAUUGCAUGUAUGAGUGGUUUGUCUCUUAUUUUGCUAAAUAUUGUCUAGUCUUGUAGUUAUCACAGUUUGUCUAUCCAUUUUUCUACUGAUGAACGUAGCACUAGUUCAGUUUUAGACUGUUGCAAAUAAAGGUGCUAUGAACAUUCUGAUACAAAUCUCUUUUUGAACACCUAUUAUGCUGGAUAAUAUCUAGGAUCACAAUUAUUGGGUUGUAGAGUAGGUUGUUGUAAUAGUAUUUUGUGUUACUGUUUGGGAAAAAAAAAAAGCCUUACUUUUCCCCCAAAGUGUUGUACUAUUUUAUACUUCUCCAAACAAUGUAUGAAAUUCCAGGUCCUUACCAACAUUUGAUGUUAUUGGGUCUUUUAUGUUAGCUAUUCUUGCUCAGUGAUUUCUCAUUGUGGUUUUAGUUUUUAUUUCCCUGAUGACUCAUGAUGUUGAGUACUUCAUGUGCUUAUUGCCCAUUUAAAUACUUUCUUUGUGAAGUACCUGUCUGAAUCUUGCUCCUUCCCCCGUGCUGAGGACUGAACCCAGUGCCAUGCACCUGCUAGGCAAGGGCUGUACCACUGAGACACAUCCUGAGCCUGUUUGCUCACUUUUUAGAGAUUGUUUCUCUAUUACUGUGGGAAUUCUUUAUAAAUUCUAGAUAUCAGUUCUUUGUCAGAAAUAUUUUUAGUGAAUAUGUUCUUUCCAUGUGUGGCUUGCCUAGUUUCUUAAAGGUAUCUUCUGAUGAGAAGAAAUUUUAAGUUUUGAUGAACUCUAACACAUGUACAUAUGCAUAUUUAUAUAUAUAUAUAUAUUUUUUCUUAUGCUAUUGCUUUUUAUGACCUGUAUUAUGAAACUUUGUUUUAUCUUCAAGACAUGAAGAUACACUUAUGGUUUUAGCUCUUAUAUUUAGGCCUACAAUCCAUCUCUAAUAAAUGCCUGUGUGUUUGGUGUGAGUUACUAGUUGAGGUUCAUUUUUCCAUGUGGCUCUCUAGGUACUUUAGCACCAUUUGUUUAAAUUCCUGUUGGAUUUGUCUUUGUUGAAAAUCAAAUGCUUGUAUAAGUUCAGAUCUCUUUAUAUGUCUUUAAAAGCGUAAAUAUUCAAUAAUUGACAUCAAGAAGUUUCUUUCUUAAAUAUCAUCUCUUUAAUUUUCACAUGCUGUAACCUGGGUAAGAAUUUCACGAAGGGGACAGAAUGACUUCUGAUGACCUUCUAGGAAAAAUGGGACACUGUGUCUUUAAAGUAUAAAGCAGAUUCUCUCUUUCAAGGAUUUAAAUUCCAUUAUUGAUGAUCAAAUAUUGUAAUCCUUAUUUGAAAGUGAAGAAAGCCUUAAAAACGUAAAAGAAAGAACUAAGUUAACUAUGUUACUGCAUUAUACUCUAAGUUAAAGUUCAUGAUAUUUUGUUAUUUAAGAAAGAUGAUCAGUUUCCUCUUACUGAAGUGUAAUGUGUUGAAUGGAAGAAAUUUCUAGGAACUUAGUAGAUGAACUUAGAUACAUGGCUUCCUUCAUUUAUUUUUCAUUUGUAAAGAAAAAAACAACCCACAAUUUUUAAACUGUUCCUAUUGUAAAGGGUAUCAUAUAAGCCAGUGACUUUCAGGGAAAUGCUUUGGUGAUCUGAGGAUAAAACAAUAAGAAAUAUACAUAGGAGAUAGUUGAUGGACCCAGGGUGUUUUUCUUGGAUGUCUAAGGAGCAGGUAUUCCCUUCUGUGUAAAGUUCUCAGCUUUGUAUGAACAAAGACUUUCUGUAAUGGGGGAUGUGCUCUCUUUGCAUUAAUUAAGCUAGAGAGCUGGCUGACCCAAGUAGAUGUGCUGCUUUGGACACACCAGUAAUUCGAUCACCUGUUUCCUUCCGGUAGGGAUUGCCUGACCGCUUAAAAUGAGCCAGGAGUCUUUGUCUCAUGCCACUCAUAAAAGUUGUGUUUGAAACACAAAGAAUUUUAAUGCCCCUCAUGUCCCCAAAUAAACAGCAGCUCUGGAAAUGUCACAGGGCUUUCAGGGCACAGGAAAUGGAUUCUGUGAAAAGGAUUUAAAUAACUCACAGUACACUGUGGAAACUUCCUGAUGCUCCUCCCCUCCUCCCCCUAGAACCAAGAAUCAACAAGUGUGGUGCCUGAUAAUGUGAACCUGAUCAUACAAUUUCUGGUUGAUGUUGGGGGCACUAAAAAUCAUAACAUACUGUAGCCAGAUGCUUUAGUAACAUGGAAUUUAUGAUCUCCUAGUAUCUUUUUUGAGUCAAAUAUAACCAGCUUAAUGUUUUAAAUAAUGAAAGUGACCUUCCAUAGACAUUAUAUUGAGUUUGAUUCUAGGAUAAUUUACAAUGUUUUCAUUACCAUAAUUUUGAAAAAAAAAUACCAACUGGUCACAUCUAAUAAGUUAGUUUCAAGAGAGGGCCAGCAUCUACUAAACCAAGGAACAACAAUGUUAAACUCCAAAUCAUUAUAGACAAAUAAAAGCAAAACUGGACUUCUAAUUGUCAACUACUUCUUUGUCCCUAACCCCCAGAUAGGACCUGUCACUUGUGCAUACUUCAUGCAGAGCACCUGGGAAAGAAGAGAGAUUAUCAGGGAGCUACAAAAACACUUUUAGAAAAUGGGAAAGGACCACUUGUGCAUGAAUACUGCUUCAUGAAGCCAAAAAUAAUAAGUUACAGGAAAGUCAGGUGACUAAGCUAUUCCAGCCUGGAGGCAGGCUCCCCAGAAGCUAGAAUUCUACCACAAAGGACUGCAGUUCCCAAUGCCCUUGACGGCACCAAAAAAAUCACAUACUUAUAAGGCUGAUGGUUCUUAACAAUUCCAUUCAAGCCUGUUUUCUGUGUAAUGUGGUGUAUUCUUUUAAAAAAAAAAAACAAACAAAAAAACAUUUAUUUGCUCCGAUUAGUUGGAAAUCUCACUUCCAUCAAAUCAAUAUCCCAUGAUAUCUGAUGAAAAUAUGGCCAAUCGAGGAGAAAAAAAAGCACCACUAAUUUAUGUGUUGAAGAAACAAACUGGUCAGCAAAGCAGGAGGAACGCUUAGAACAUCUGUGGCAUUUUCUUCUCCUGAGUUUCUUGAGGACGACCCUUUUCAAUUUAGAAAUUGACAGCUGAUGGCAUGCAUCUACAUGAUCUUAUUUACCCAAAAAUAUCAGGAAGAAAAACUAGAUGUGAGAAGCAAUAUUUUACUGAUCCAACCAGUUCCACCUUUAAAACAAACAACUGUGUUACCAGCUUUGUUUCAAAAAAGAGGCAAAACACCCGGGACGGGCUAUCACUCAGCCCUGCGUGCGGGGCCUUUUCUAUUCUGUGAUGCGUGCUGUUCAAGCACAGAGGAUCAGUUAGUGCAGUGUCAUAGUGACCUAGCUGAUCCUCCUUUUAACUUAGCAUUGCCAACUUAUGGAAUGAAUGUUGUUUUUUUUUUCCUUGCCAAUCACCCAUUUAAUAAAAUGGCCCAUGAAUGCAGUCAGAUCUCCCUGGUGGCUUCACUACAGUGCCCAUACUUGUUUCUGCUGCCGCAAGCUCCACACUUGACUGGUGGGGACAUUAUCCCUUCCCUUGUUAAGCUUUGCUCAAGAGAAGUCCAAAAAGACUGUGACUGCAAAUCUUUUGGGAAAAGGAAAUCAUAUUUAUUUCUGUUUGGUUUUACUUACUCUGGAUACCUUGUUUGAAUGUUAUUUUUGGCAAGUCAUUAGAACAUUCACCCAGUUCUUUGCUUUCUCGACCUCAUAUCCUUGUUUGCUGAACUCAAUGUGAAAACCAAGACAUAUUUGACACCAAAAUGUAUGGUUCACUUGCAUGUGGUGACUUUGUAGAGAUAUAGUCACAAAUGAAAAAUAAAAAUAAAAGGAUUGAACAAAAUGUGAAAAAUAGAUGCUAAUGUAGCCAGAAACUCCUCUGUUAGAUCACAGGAGUUACUCUUAGAAUCAGAAAAUCCCCGGGUUGCCAAUGAACUUGGAAGUCAAAGGCAUUUCCUUACAAAUGCCACAUUUUUCUUGGAAUGAAUGUCUGUAGCCGACACUGGAUGAACAUGUAUUUUGCCUUUGGAUUCACACACACAGCUACAUUUGGCCAUAUAAUGCCAUGCAUUGACCAUGAACUGCUUUUCCUUAGUCGUGAACUUUGAAGAGGGGUGAGGACUUCUGGAUCAAUUUGCACUGGUUUGCUCCCGAAACUCCACUAAAAAGAAAGUAAACAUAGUUCUAAAAGAUUAUUAUUUAAAAUCAUCAAGAAUAAAGAGGUGUUAGAGGAAACAACAACAUAAAAUUUUAGAAGCUGGAAAUAAGGUUCACGAACAGUAAGCUACCUAACAGAAGCUAGAGGGUUGAAUUCUAAGUGGGCAGUGAAGAAAAUCAAGAAACAACCCAAAUUAUACUGCAGAACUGUAACAAUUUGCAGACUCCAGGCAAUUUCAAAAGAAGGAUAUAAAAAUGGGGCUAAAACGAGAGGAUUUGUUGAAAUUGUAUUCAGAACAGGUUUGACUUGCCUAUUUCCUACUCAAAGCAAAUGCCUGCUCUGAGACUGGAAGUUCAUUCUCGGGGUGGUUAAAAUUUUGGUUUUUGAACUAGGGGACACUUGUCACAAGUGAAGUAGAGAGGGUAUCAUUAUCAAAAGAGUAAACAUGGAAUAACAAAUGUUGGUGAGGAUGUGGAGAAAUCACAACACUCACACAUUGCUAGUGGGGAUGUAAACUGAGGUAGCCACUGUGGAAGACAAUUUGGCAAUUCCUUACAAAGUUAAACCUACAAUUAUUGUGUAAGAGAUUCCUUUCUUAGGUAUAUACCUGGGAAAAUUAAAAAUAUAUAUUCACAUGAAGCAUUGUCUAUUGGUGUUCUCAACAGCAUUAUUUCCAAUGGUGCAAAUAACCCAGACUUCUAUAAACUUAUAAAUGGGUAAACAAAAAUAGGUUUCCAUACAGUGGAAUAUUUGACCACCAAAGGAACAAAGUACUUUUACAAGCUACAAGUUGGAUGAACCUUGAAAACAUACUAAGUGAAAGAAACUAGCUAUGGAGACCACAUAUAUGGUUUCAUUUAUAGAAAUGUCAAGAAUAGACAAAUCCAUAGAAAUAGGAAGUAGAUUAGUGAUUUCUAGGGCAUAGUAGGAGGAGGAAAUUGGAAUGGAGUUUCUUUUGGGGAUGAUGAAAAUAAUCUGGAAUUAGGUAGUGGAGGUGGUUGUACAACAUAGUAAUAUACUAAAAUAGAUAAUAUACUAAAAUCCAUCAUGCUUUCACAAUUUCUCUGUGGGAAAAGCCCCCAGAGGGCAACAACUGCCUUGCUCAUGCAUCCAUAUAGUCAAUUAGUAAAUCUAGGUUUUGCAGAUGUUCUCAUAUAACAAUUAUGGAUAUGAUCUAUGACAGUACUUUGGACCUGAAUCAUCAGUUCUUCUGGAUGAUGGAGGAGUGGACCCAGAACUAAUAGUAAUAAAAAAUUUUGACCUUAAUCAUGAGGUUUCCCUGUAUGUGAUAAUAAAACAAAAAUAAUGGUCACUGAACAUUUACUGAGUGCUAAUUAUGGGCCCAGCACCCUUCUAAUCACUUUAAAUAUACUCACUCAUUCUGCCCUCACAACUCUGUGGCAUUCAUAUAAUAAUCACCAUUUCUUGGAUGAGGAAACCAAGGUCAAGAAAUGUGACGUUACUUGUCCCAGACUUAAAUCACUGUUAAUUAACAGAAAAGGAAUUUGAACCCUGGAAGGCUGGCUCCAAUUCACCUUUCAGUAGAAGCUUCUCAUUGAUUGUGAAGGCACAGGCUCAAUCUCUUGACGGGGGACAAAGAACAUUCCACACAUAAGAAUUUUGUUGGAAAACUCUCACUCACUGUGUUAUAUAGCUUAAAAUCAAGACACAGCAUUUGUUGAGAAUUUUCUGAAGAAUAUGAAGCAUGUCCAUAUUCUUGGCCCAAGCCACCUUCAUCAUUGAGGAUGAUGUUGCUUUAAGUUCCCUUUAGCUAAGGCCGAAAGAAUCCAACAUUAACCUGUGAAAUGGGAAUUUACUGGCUCACAGAAUUGAAAAGUCUGGGUGUGCUUCCAGGACUGCUUGGUUCCUGCUCAAAUGAUGGCCUUAGGAUGGAGUUUUUCUCCUUCCAUCUCUCUUGUUCUUCCUUCUUCCUGGGUACGCUCUGCUCUUGAGAUCUCUAAAUGGCAGCAGCAGCUCCAGUUCCCCCAUCCUCUCCCUGCAGAUUCAGAAUUUCCUUCCCGGAAGCCCAGGGAGUCUGAUUGGCUCUGCUUGGCUCAUGUGCUCAACUCUGAGCCAAGCCCUGCGGUCAGGGGGACACCAUGUCUUGAAUCCUGUCCUAGUCACAUACUCAACUUGGGGUGAGGUGGAGCUAACUCCACGAGAUGCACAUAGAUUGUGGGUGAGUAGAUGAUAAUCCCCAGAAGAAAAUUUUAUUUAGUUACCAGAGUAAGGGACAGACGGAUGUUGGGCAGCAAAAGCAGGGACUCCACUGCAGUCCAUUCAGGAAUAUCUGUUGGAGAAAGUCGGGCUUGAUUUUGUCUCAUGACUAUUGUUAUCUCUAAUUUUGCGACUGUUGUAGCUGAUUGUGUUUCCCACGUGGUAUGAAGGAGCCACAUCUGCCAGCCACUUCCAUGAACGUUCAAGACCCAUGAAAUGCAGUCAGUAAGCUUUAUUUCAUUUUCCUAACAAUGUUUUCUUUUUACAUUUCUUGCCUCAUCUAUUUGUGUCUUAUUUAUGUGUAUUUAUUUACAUGUGCAUAUUUUAUGUAUAUAAUAUUUAUGGUGUAAAUAUUAUACGUAUGCUGUUUUAAAACUCUUUUCAUAAGAGCCACUGUAGAAAGUUCUAAAAGUGUUAUUUUUAUUUAUUUAUUUUGGGGUGUGAGGGUUUGAACCCAGGCCUCACACAGGCCAGGCAAAUGCUCUACCACUGAGCCACGUCCUCAGCACCCAAAAAUGCUAUUUUAGGAUAUGGUGAUGUCACCUAAAUGCCCAAGCUAAAGACCCCAAAAGCCAGUAACUUUCCAGAAGAAAUGAACACAAUAAUAAAAAAAUAGUCGUGAAAAAAGAACAUAUUUUGGUCUCUGCUCUGCCUAGAACAUUUAUUCCUGCCCCACUGACAGUUUUCAGUUUAGUUUUUAAUAUUCAAGCAUCAGUCUUCCUCCCUGAUGUCACUCUCCCCGGCUCCAGAUCAGGGGCUCACCCCACGGGCUCCCAGUAUGUGUCUGUGGAAAGAGCUCCCUGGGGACAAGGGCUGCCUUGCUGGGGUGACCACACCGGCAGCACCUAAGGUAUAGGAGGAGGUGCUCAGUAAGUGUCCACAGAAAAAAUGAAAAGGGAAGAAGAAGGCAGGGGAGAGGGAAGGGGGUCAGGAGAGAAGACAUUUGAGAGCAAGAGGAAGGAGGAGAGGAAAGAAGGAAGGGAGGGAAGGAUGGAGGUGUAGAAAGAAAGAAGGGAGAAGGGAAAGAGGCCCAGAUGCAGGCACGAAGGAGAGAGGGAAGGAAAAAUUUAAGAAAGUCAAAGAGGGAGGGAGGAAGAGAGGAAAGAGAAAGAAAUAGAAACGAGAGAAGGUAGGAAGGAGGAACGAAGAAAGGGAGGGGGGAAGAAAGGAUCUAUUACUUAGAGAACGGCUUCAGCAGAAGAGUCUGUGUGGUACAUGUGUGGUACCUAUGUCAGAAGGUCAUCUCCUGUGCCUGCAGUGAGAGGCCCCAGGCCCCCAGUGCAGGUACCACUGUGGUUGAUUUCCUGCUCUAUAUAGCAAAGAAUUCAGCAUGACCUCAAGAAGAUGUGGUUCCCCUCGCUGGGAGCCCACAGAGAUCCACAGUCCUUCCUUUCGCUGCCCCCAAGAAGCCUUUGAGAAUAGCAAGGGACUGGAACCCUGUGAGGUUUUUGUUUGCCUAACCAUAGGCUUUGAGGGCUUUUUGGAAACUGGUUUUCUUUGGGGAUCACUUAACUUUUCCAUUUCCUUGUAAAUGUUUUUGGUAAAAACAUUCUCCUCUUGGAUUUCAGAGGAAGUUAAAAUAGAGAGAUCUCCAAAGCAUGCUCUGAGCCAUGUGUUCUCAACACAGCCACUUGUUUGAAGUUGUCUCUUCUCUGAAUCCAAACCCACCAGUCAACACAGACCUUCAUCUCCCGCUCUGCCCCGUGAAUCCAUUUUGCCUUGAGUCAUGAUUGUCCAAGCUUUUUAAAGGCUGUACUUUUUUCUUAUAUUUUGUAAUACCAUUUAGUCUGUCUGAAGGUAUAGGGUGUAACAAAAUGAUACUGACUAGAUAUCAUGGCUAUUGGCCAACAGAUAAAGAUGAGAAAUACAGUAUUUUAUUACUGUGACGUUCUGAUUCUUUCCUACUAUUUAGUUGACCUGCAUUUGUGGCAAUUAUUUUUUAGGUAUUUUAAUACAUAUUAUUUAUAAAACGGAUCUUCAUUUUUAAAGACUUGACAAAAUUAGCCAACCUGGGAUACCUGCCAUAUUCCCAUCCAUGAGUGAGUUAUUAACAAUGCAUUUAUUUGAAUCAAAAAAGUAUUAUUAUCCCUAAAUGGAAGUUAUAAAAAUACUUCAAAUCUUACCCUAAGUAAUCAAAUCCUUCUUCAUCAAAACAAACAACAAAGACCAACUCCAGGAUAUCUUCUAUAUACUUUUCUUUUGGUAAGGUAAAUAUUUCUUAAAUAUGUCAAAGGGUAAUAUUGAGGAGCUGGGGUUGUGGCUCAGUGGUAGAGCGCUUACCUAGCAUGUGCAAGGCCCUGGGUUUGAUCGAUCUUCAGCACCACAUAAAAAUAAACAAAUAAAAUAAAGGUAUUGUGCCCAAGUACAACUAAAAAAAUUUUUUUAAAAAGAGUAAUAUUGAACCCAUUGUCUAGUGUGGUCACUAAGGACCACGAGAGUUAAAUUGCCAAGUAACUUGGGUUAUUGGGCCAAGGAUCUUGUGUAGGUAAGUUUCAUGUAUGUUUCCUCAUGUGGAAAUUUCAUAGCACCUAGUUUUAGUGCUUUAAGGGGGCGGGGGUAGAACUGAGUUUCUUAGAAGAGUAGUAUAUGAAGGAAAGUAGAUUUUUAAGUAAUUUUUGAGCCAUGUAGGCAGACGUCCAGCAGAAAACUAGAAAAGAACUCUCUGUUCUCAAGCCAGUGGUGGUCUAGGGCUCCAGUGGGUGGUGCUCACCUGACUGCCAUUGGGGGACCCUAGCUGGAACUAUGCUUCCCCAGUGCAUCUACUCAGGAGGGACAGCUAUACCAUGGGACAAAAGGAAAAAUGAUCUCUGAGGUGAUCCAAGGCUUUUCAAUUAGACAGUCUCUCUUGACAAGGGAUUCUGACUCAUAGGCUCACAUCCCACGGUGGGGAACAAUCUUUAGGAAAGUCUCGUGCCUCAAAAAGGGAGCUGUUCUGUUCUGAAGCGUAACAUGUUUCUUUAUUUAAAAAUGGCAGCAAAGAUUGUAAGCUGUAGCCAAGGCUCUUGCCAGCUUUCCUCCACAGUGUAUGUCCUCUGUCUUCUCUUUUCCAUCUUUAGGGCCACCCUCAUGGGUGUCCAUAUGAUGUCAUCUCACGUCUGAGAUACUGCAGUGCCUUCCAUGCUGGCCUCUGUCACCUUAACAUCCAUUUCCCCCACCCAAGAGUUAUUACGCAGUGGCUAAAGUCAGACUCUAGCAUAUAAAUCAAAUCAUGCCACAUGCACCCCUGUCUCUGCAACCCCUUCAAGGUCUUUCCAUUUCUCUUAGAAGAACACCUGAAUGCGUUAUCUUUACCUACAAAGUUCCAUCUUAUCUGGCUUCUGUGCCCUUGGCUUGCUGCUCCGAACCACACUCUCCUGUGGGCCAGUCCAGGCAGAACUUUGUGUCCUGUGGUCUGAAGCACUUUUACUCAACUGCUCUCAAAAUUCAGGAUUCUGUUAAAAUUUCUCUCUUUAGUCAGAGCAUCUGCCAACACUCUACAUAAAAAAUAGCCCAGUUUCUCCUCUCCAUGAUCAGUGGUGGGUGUGCUGGUAAAUGGUUAGCAACUGGCUACUGGGGUUAGAGGGUAGGAGAGGGAGAAGAAUCCCCGAUGGUUAGCAUUAGCUAUUUCUGUGGUGAAAAUAUAAUACAGCAUGGGCCAGGUUCCUGGUGUGAAUCAGUGGGCAGGAUUCCUGAAGUGUACCCAUCAGCUCAUGAGAACGGGUGCAAAAUGACGCCAAGGUAACCCCACGUGGUUCUCCCUCAGGACAGCUUCUUUCCUUCAUGGCUCCCAUGAAACACUGUCAGACUGUUCCCAUACUUUCUUUUGUGUUUGCUGUGAAGCUUAUAGACAGAGAACAUAAGGUAAACUCCAUGAGGGAACAUGCAUCUCAAUCCUAGCCCAGUUCCUGUCAACGUAGUAUGUAUCCAGUAAAUAUUUACAAACUAAUGUCAAGAGCUCACUCCACACACCUGGUUCAGAAUUCCAUUCUAAGGCAAAUAGAUCGGACGUUUUAGAUAGCCUAUCACAAUUUUGUGCCAGAAAAAUUUAUUAUUUCCUUUGGACCUUAUGAAACAUUGGAAAUACCUUAUGGGUCUCCAAUUCUUCCUUUGUGUAUCCCUAUAUGUCUACGAAGCCUCUUUUUCACAGCCUUUCAUUUUAUUAGCUUUUCCAAGUUAAGAAAAGUAAUAAUUUCUUAUUUUAGAGGGGGAAAAAUAUUUUAUUGCUUUUAAAGCUCAGAAAGCCGAGAGAGAGAGAGAGAGAGAGAGAGAGAAAGAGAGAUGGUGGGGGUCAGUGUGGCACAAGAGGGGAAUAGAAGAAGAAAAAAGUGCUGGAACUGUAUGCACAUGAGUGGUGCAGCCUGCGAUAUGAAGUAGAAUAAUAUAUAGUUUGAAGCCUGUCUUCAGCAUGGACCCCAUGUGGCCCUUUGUCAUGUGAAAUUUCUCCUUCAUCGCUGUGUCUGCACAGCGCCUGCCAGGCUGUGGGUACAAAAAUAUUUAGUGAGUAAAAAAAUAACAUAGAAAGUUCUUGACUUUGUAUUAUAAGGGCCAUUCUAUAACAGUAGGAAAGUUUCCAGUUCAAGUUAAUAAGCAACUAUUGUGUGCCAGAUAUUGAUUUAAAAAACAAACACACACACACACACACACACACACAAAAUCAAACGAAUAAGAGAAAAACUUCAAGCACCUUCCAUGGGUGAGAAGCUCCUGUUUCCAAGUUCAUUCUUCUAAGGAAGCCCAGAGGGACACUGCGCCCAGCAUAGUGUCCCAGCUCACCUGAAAACACAGCCAGGAUUGAGGGUGGCAGGGAGGAGAGACCAUCAGGUCUCUGGGAGACAAUGGCUUGGGGCUGCAGCCGUCCUAGGCCCCUGGGGAAUUCCCAGGGCAGCGUCCUGUGUGGCAGAAACUAAGCUCUUGUCCCCGGGUGAAAUCACGUCCUUCCACCCUCCCGUCUCUCUUUUCAAAGCCUGUCAUCCAUUGGCCAAACACAUGGCUCCCAUUUGUGUCAAAACCAAUAGAAAACAAGGGGCUCUGGUGUGUCUGAGGGGGCGAGCACAACAUGUGUGAGGCCCUGGGUUUGAUCCCCAGCACCACAAAACAAAAACAAAAACGGACAACGAACCUUUCCACAAGACUUUUCUUAGUGAUGUCAUUUCCUGGGUCUGAGGUGCCAAGGAGAGGAGCUCUGUCCCUCUCACCUCUGGGCACUGCAGAAAACCCUCACACAAAGAAACGCUUCUGUGUGAAACCAGUUCCCCUCACGUCACUCAGGUUUCUCAACACUUGUUUCUGUGAAUCAACAGGUCGGUUUGAAAGGUCUCCUUGUGCCAGGCAUCUCUCUCCUCUCCUUCCUUUUUUUUAUCAUAGACUUUGCUUUUUCAUCUAAAGGAAGUCCCACAGUGGCUUGGAUAAAUGAUACUAAUCUGUAUUUAUAGUAUCUCACUUUACUUAAAGCUGUUUCUGGUUCUUACAGCCGACUGACUUUUGGAUAUGUAAAAAGAUUGGACAAAGUUCUUGCAAAACUGGUUGUCAAAUCCUAAGUUUUGUAGAUGUUCCAAGCGCCUUUGGGUUUUAAAACACAAUCCCUGAAGCACAAAAUGCUUUAUUUUCUAGAAGAUUCUUGUGCCUGACAAAUAUAUCGUAUUCAUAGAAUACUUGUAUUUUAGCAUCCAAGUACUUUACAUUGUUUGGUUGAAUGGGCCCUUCCAACACCAUGAGAGCUCUGUCACCCUUGUUUCUUACUUGGAAGGCUGAGACCUGAAUAAUUGGUUCCAGGUAGCAAGGCAGCCAGAAGCAGAGUUAAGUCUCCAAAGAACCAGCUUAUCUUUAAUUUCUUGGCAACAUAAUUUAUGAGUUACUGGUAUUGAAAGAUUUCUUUUCUGUGCAAAGACAGUUUUACAUGAUCACACAUAUAGUUUUCAUGGUAUAUGAAACAUAUAUAAUCUGCAAAAAUAAUCCAAAUAGUCAAGGCCCAGAAAAGACAAAUCAGGCAAGGGCUUAAUGAAUUUAAGCAGGCAGUCAAAUUUUCAAGAAUCAUUGUAUGUAGAGAUAAGAUCCUUACCCUUAAGAGGUUUAUCACCAAACUGGGGAAACAGGACUCUCUCUAACUGGUGGUAGCUCAAAGACUAGAGUCCUUGCACACAAUAGAGAGGUAUGCAAAAUGGCGAAGGCAGGAAUUCAUAAACACUGAAGUGUGCUCAGAGGGGUCAGGACAACCACAGCCUUCUCAAAAGAGGUGAGUGCCUGUUACAUGGGAGGCGGGUGACCAUGUGGAUUGACAGGGGAGGUGUGGAUUGGCCUAGCAAAGCUCACAGGUACAAAUGUCUAGAUUUCCUCCCUUCUCAAAUAUCCUCCACUUCAUUCCAGUUUUCCCCCACCCCACCCCAGGGAAAGGGAAAGGGAAACUCUCACAUGAAGUGUGGCUCAUCUCCAUUUCAGAAGCAGUGGUGUGCCAGAACCUGCAUGCAAAAGCUAAAGAGAGCUUGCCCGUUCUCGAAUCUGAGAAGACACUGACACCAUGUUGGUAGUUUGGAACCAGCCAAGGUGGGAAUAUUUACACCACAGUCAGUCAUCAGCAGACACCAGGAGCCAGCUCCCUGUGACCACCCCACCACCAGUCACUGAACAUUCACCACCUGAAACACGGGUAUUUUACCAGGAGGAAACUAUUAUGGUAGUUAUAUGUGAGGAAAAGAAAGGAGAUUGUCUAGAAUGGGGGGCAAGGACAAGUUGGGCAUCAGAGCAACAAAGACAUUGAAACCACCAAUGACCAUCGCAAAGCAGCAGUGAGUCACCCAGGAAGUAAGGGGAAAGAGGUGAGUCCUAGGAAGGCCUGGAUCACUUACUUUGUACCUUUAAGUGACAGCAGAGUUACUAAGAGCUUGAGUGCUGAGCUACAUGGUUCUAAUACAUCCCACCUCUAACGUUUUUAUGAAGCUCAAAUUAUUAGAGCAUUCCUAUUUGCCCAAUCACUUGCCUCAGUAGAGCUGACCCAAAACAAUUCUUAGGGAAUUUUGGUCCUGCUGGUAAAAGUGCCUAUUGUACAUCUGGGAAUUAAGGUAUCUGAGUGGGGAACCUCAUUACACUUAAUUUUCAUGGAAGGAUGCCAGCUCUGCCCCCAGCCUAGUUCCCUCUUAAGAGAUAUAGAUCUACUUCUAUCUGGCUGCACAGAGCAGCUGACCUUCAUAUACUUGCCAUUGUGAAAAGAUCUAACACAUCUAGUACUACGUUCAUGAGUUUCUUUCCACAAAACUUGCCUUUUGGCUUACAUUCUGGAUUUUUGGGUAUCAUCUAAGCAUUAACCCCGAAUAGAAACAGGGGAAUUAUCCCUGGUCUCUCUGCCUUCCUCAUCACCCAUGUCUCAUCAGGCGAUUUGAUAUCUUUAGCAUCGACUGCCUUGGGGUCAGUUCCCAUCACUUUUCCUCUAGAUUCCUACAAAAACUUCCAAAUUAUCCGGGGUCUCUGCCUUUGGCCUUGUCAAUCUCCAUCCAUGUUGGAGUACCAUUUAUAAAACAGAUCCAAUCAUGUCCCUUCCCGGGUCCACAAAAGUUGUCUAGAAUUUUCAUGAUAAAGUUCAAACUCUUCCAUCCGCCCAUCUGGCCUUGUGAAAUCUUCCAUGACACGGAGAGGGAUCAGGUGACCCUCCCCCUCCCUCCCCACUCUGUCUGCUCCCUGUCACACAGUGGGGUAUCCACCUGCUGCCCUUACUACACAGCAGGAACCAGGCACUCUUUGACCUCUGUCCCCUUUGCCUAGCACUUAAUUGAUGCUUGAUGUAUAUUUGGACAAUUCUUUGUCACAGACUUGAUUUUCCUUACACUAGGGCAGUUACCGAGAGAAUACAGAGGUUACAUAUGGUACAGGAAGUAACAUGAUCCAGGGAGUAAUACAUCCUUGGCUUUACUGUCUGUCUCAAACGUGUAACAGACGGAAGAUGAAACACUUCAUGGCAGAUUACCCUAUCAACAAUAGUGACUGCUGAGAAGGAAUCCAGAGUGAAGGAAGAGCAGCUGACCUUGGCCCCAAGAACCUUAAGGGUGACCUUAGGUCAGGGAGUUCAGAGGAAUAAUAUGAACCACAUAGAGAGGUAGGAGGUGGGAGAAGCAGCCAAUGAACACUUGCUAGCUCAGGAUGUGGCAAAUGUUCUACAUAGACAAUUCCAUGUCGUCUUUGUGACCACUCCAUGAAAUAGGCUUGUCUCUUAAAAAAUAACAGUAAAAACAAUGACUAAUAAGGAAACUGAAACUCACAGAUAAUAGCAUACAAAAUCGUGUAACAUUCAAAUAAUAACAUACACAAAUCCAUGCCUUCUCAGGGAUUCACCUAGGUUUCAAAUCCUGGUUCCUCACCUCAGGACACCACAAACUUCCCGUUGCACCACAAGUAGAAAGGGGUGUCAGAUAAAGGUGGUAGAAUCUAACUAGACCCUUAGCCCUACUUUCCCCCCAACUCAAAAACACUUAUCCAAGGAAGGUGACAGGAAAUCAGAAUAGUAGCUAAAAUUCAUAACCGGACCAGUGAAAUAUAAAUUUUCCCUAUGGAGAAAUGUAGGUGUUUUCAAAGGCUAAUGUACCUUUCUAUUCUGACUGGACAGUCCUUUUGAGAUCUGCCUGAUCCUUUUGAAGAAAACCCAUUAUAGUUCACUGUGUAUUGGGGAAGGGAAGGUUGAUGGGGCGGAAAGGACAGAGAUUACUCUUCAAUCAUUUUACAGGGCUGUAAUUGAGACUCCACUGAUGAGGUUGCUUCUUCCUAGGCCACUCCUUGUGAGACAGACAGAUGCCACUCACAAAUGAGCAAAGGGAACCGUGAAGACCGCUAAGGAGAGGCGUUUGGCAGUGAGGUUGAAUUCCUGUUCCUAGCCCGGGAGUGAUUAAUGGGUCCUUUCAAAACAGAAAGAAAGGGGUCUUGCCACAAGCCAAACUACUAUUAUACGCUGCUUAGGCAUUAGCACACUUUGCAAACAUCUGCUUUGCCCCCUGGCUCGUUAGCGAAUUUCAUAAGCUAUGGCAACAAUCCCCAAAUAGACCAGAGCUUCCACGUGGUACGUGCUUCAGUUGCUGCCAACAGCCAUCUUGGCCUCUCUCACGAAGCCAAAAAUACCCUUUAGAUAAACCACAAAGAAGCUGCUGGUCUGGGUUGGAAAUCAGAAUCAACCUCCAAACGUCACAGUAUUUAUACUAACGGGAGCACCUAACCGCAUACUGAAGAAAGUAAGCCAACAACGCGGAGUCCUCCCUGGGCCCACUGCAAGACAGCGCUCAGGUAUGGCUUCCUGCUUUCGAGCAAUGAACGAACUCUGGCUGCAACGAUGCCUGACUUUUAAAACCGUUCUCACAGAAACAGAACCAGAGAUCCGAUUUUACACUUUAAAGAUGUUGAAAUCGGUAAGAAUUUCCAGUGCAAUAAAAACAGUGAUUUACGUAGAUGAACAAGUGGAUGCUUUUAUUUAUUUUUAUUUUAUUUUUUUGGUGGUACUAGGGUUGAGUCCCGGGACAGUACCACAGAGCUCCAUACCCAGCCCUUUUUUUUUCUAUUUUUUAUUUUGAAGCCAGUUCUCCCUAAAUCGCCGAGGCUGGCCUUGAUCUUGUGAUCCUUCUGCCUUAGCCCUUACUGGGAUGACAGGUGUGCACCACUGCACCUGUUGGAUGGAUGACUUUAAAGAUUGUGUAAAGGUUAUUUUGGUGAGUGUAAGUCCUUCCUGCAGAGGACUUGAGGGCAAAUUAAAAAUGUAGGCAGAGAGAAGCAUAUGUUCCUUUUGUCCUGUCCAUAAUGCUGUAGUUUGGGUCUGAAUGUCCCCAAAGGCUCAUGUGAUAAAGGCUGUGUCCCCAGGAUGGUGCUAUUGGGAGAUGGUGCGACCCUUGAGAGAUGGGGCCUGGUGAGAAAUCCUCAUGCUGUUAGGUACCCCUUGAAGAGGACUGUGGGACUAUGGUCCCUUCCUCUUCCUCUUUUUUGCUUCCUGGCCAUGAUGUCACCGCUCCACCAUACAUUUCUGCCAGGGUGUGCUGCCUUACCACAUGCCCAAGGCCACACGGCCAACUGAUCUGGAUCUUGAACCUCCAAAACUGUGAGCCAAAAUAACCCAUUUUGCUUUAUAAGUUAAUUUUCUUGGGUAUUUUGUUAUAAUAACAGAAAGCUAACUAACGCAGUCUUCUAUAACUUAACAAAAUAUUCACUCUAUUCCUCCUUCUCCUUUUGUUACUAUACUGCUUCCAUGUUUAUCUUUGUUUGUUUACUGGAUUUCUUGACAAUCUUCCCAAACAUAAGACUGUUUCCAAAUGUAGGAAAUAUUUUCAUGUGUUCAUGUUUCAGAAAUUCAAUGUAGCCAUUCAUGGCUACUCCUUUAUUUCCCUUAAAAAAAAAAAAAAACUGCAGUAAAAUACAUGUUCCUCCAAAACCAUAAAAUACCCCUUUAGAUCCUGCUUUCCAUUCUUUUGAGUAUAUACCCUGGAGUGAAAUUUCCAGAUCAUAUGAUAAUUCUAUUUUUAAUUUUUGCAAGAAACUGUGAUCACUUCUUUUCAAAAUAUCCUUUUCUUUGGUCUUACAUGGAAAUGCAUUCUUUUGACUCUUACAUCUGCAUUUUUAUUAAUGUCUCUUGCCCCUCAGUAUAGAUGACUCUCUUUUUUUUUUUAAAGAGAGAGAGAGAGAGAGAAUUUUUUUAAUAUUUAUUUUUUAGUUUUCGGCGGACACAACGUCUUUGUAUGUGGUGCUGAGGAUCGAACCCGGGCCGCAGGCAUGCCAGGCGAGCGCGCUACCUCUUGAGCCACAUCCCCAGCCCUAUAGAUGACUCUCAGUGGUUCAAUAUUUGACACUCUCAUUUUUCCCCCUUACAUUUUCUCCUUUGGUGAGAACUUUGUUCCUGUGGCCUCUAUCAUAUCCUCUAGGGAAAUCUACUUAUUCAACUCUGACUUCCAUCCUAAGAUUGAAAUCUUGAACUACACACUGGAUCACUCCAGUGGGUAAGUAUCCAAGACAUGGGCCCAAGACAAACUCCACCUGUGGAUCCGUUUCUCCUGACAGGAGCCAUUUCAACAAAGCCACCCUACCACAGGAUGAAACCAAUGAUCAGAAGCCACUGAGACUCUGAGUUUUCAUCCCCCCCAUCUCAAUGUGACAGUGUCCAUCAGAAGGGGUGGGGACCUGGAAACAGGCAUCUUUGUGAGGGCCCUUUCCUACUGAACACAGUGCCCUUCACUUUGAACAGGCCCAGGCUGCUCCACACUGUAAGCAGCAGGUAGCCACAGAGGUGGGGCCAAGUUUCUAGAGAAGGAGUGACUGGACCAAUUCACAGACCCAUAUAACCACUCCCGAGGGCUUCUCCGACAUUUGAGAGGAGGAAAAUCCCAAGGAAAGACCAAGUUUUCACAAUUAAGCAGGUGGAAGGAUAGAACACUGAGAUUUGGAGCAUUACUAUAACUUUGAUCUCAUUUAUAUAAGCAGAUUGGGGAGGUUUUUUAUAUAUUCCCACAUAUAUACACUAAUGCACACGCUUAUUUACACAUGCACAACUACACACACAUGAGCACACACACACACUCAAACAUACACUCACAUGCACACGCAUGCUCACACAGAUACAUGCACACUCACUCUGCACACUUACACACACACACUCACUCACAUAUACACACACCCACACACACAUGCACACAUGCUCACCCACACCUACACAUUCACACACCCAAGUACAUGGACACACAUACACACUCACAUUCACACAGGAAUGUGAGGUUUGAAUGAAACUCUGGUUUUCUUUACCUCUGAUUCAAACAAGUCACGAAGUAAAUCUAUUCUUUUUUUUUUAUUUUUAAUUUUUUAUUGUUGGCUGUUCAAAACAUUACAUAGUUCUUGAUAUAUCAUAUUUCACACUAUUCUUUUUGACACGAGCAGAAGUAAAAGACACAGAGGAUAGGGGUUGCAGUAAACAGAACACUACUGUUGCAGAGUUCUUACAUUAGGUCAUUUGAAUUCAAAGUAAAUUGAUUAAUUAAGGAUGUAUAUUGUAAUCCCUAGGUAAACUAUUAAAAAUACCAAGAAAUAUAGCUUAAAAAUCAACACAAGAGAUAGAAUGGACUAUUCAAAAUAUCAAGUGGGCAGAAAAGAAGGAACAAAAAACAGAUGGAUCAGAAUCACCCCCUGACACACAAAGCAGACUCACCCAGCCAGUGAUCCCAUGACUUGUGAAUGCACUGCCAUUGCAGUUAAAGGCAGAGGUGACUAGACUGGAUUUUAAAAAAGAAAAGCAAGACCCACUCACAUGCUGUGUAUAAGAGAUGCACUUUAGAUAAGACACAGUAAUGGAAAGCAGAAACGUGGAUGAAAAUAUCCAUGCACAUACUAAUCGUAGGAAAGCCAGGUAACUGUGCUGAUUUCAGACCAAGAAGAUGCCAACACAAGAAUUACUGGAAUGAUUAGGGUCACUUCAUAAUGAUAAAAAGGUCAGUUCGUCAAGAAGACCGGUACAUCUGCCCUUGAUUGUAUCUCUCCACGCCAUCUCCACUCGGCUGCUGUUCUACCGCCCCCACUCCUAGUUCGUCAGCAGAUGGAUAUCUUCCCCAUCCAAUCCACCCAGCAGCAAGUUCAGUUUUAAAACAAAAUGAACCUUUGCUCUAAUUAAAAAUCCAUAGUAGGGCGCUUGCCUAGCAUGUGUGAGGCACUGGGUUCGAUCCCCAGCACCACAUACAAAAACUAAAUAAACAAAAUAAAGGUAUAGUGUCCAUCUACAACUAAAACUUUAUUUUAAAAAAGUCCAUAGUAGUCCUGGUCAUUGCUAUCUCCAAACCACCUAUCCAGCUUUGUCACUCAUGGACAGUGGCUCAUGCUGGACCCUGUUCCCAGCAACCGCUCCUGUCCCUGACCCAGCAGUGCUUCUCUCUGCAGACUGCUCCCUUUUCCUUCCUGCGCCCUUGGUGCUCUGUACUUGGCUCUAAGCUGUGCCUGACCCGGUCCCUCGCAUCCCCGCUCACUCACUGAACUCCAGCCACACUGGUCUCAGGUACACAAACCCGGGUCUUAUGAGCAUUGGGCCUCAAGUCAAGUGGCUGCUCUCCAGGGGAGCCUUCCCUGACGCCCCUUCUAAUGCUCCCCUCCCCAUCGCAGCUCUGCACCACACUGUCUAAUUGACCCCACGCCUCUCAUCAUUGACUCAACUGCCCUGAUCAUGGAUUUGCUUUGCACAUGUCUCCCCACCCCAUUACAGUGUAACUGGAAAUGGAGAUUUUGUGUGUUUUAUUUGCAGAUGUAGCCUCAGGUCCUAGAACAGUGCCUGGCACACAGCAGGCAGUGAGUAUUGGCAGUGUAGGUGAGUGGUAGGUAGAGGAACCUUUUACGAAUGCUACAUUCCCUCCUGCAGGCCUAGACUUGCAUGCUCCUUGUGUAAUGUGCACAGCAAUGCUCCUGCAGAUUCCCUCCCUUGCACUCAAGCCUCGUAAUAACCUCCCGUCCCACCAGCAGCAGGGCCAUCCGGUCUGUCUCACUCAGUCUGCACCAGCGCCUGUUAGAUCUUGUCUAUUUUCAAUGGCAGCCAAAUGCAAGGGGUGCUUAAUAAUUCCUGAUCAUGACUUGUGACAUCCUCCUAUGCAUGCACCAGAUUUUCAGACUUCUUAAAUGUAUCUCCUAGCACCCACAGAUGAAUGGACAAGCAAAAGGAGGUCGAUGCAGAUGGAAUAUUAUCCAGCCUUAAAAAGGAACAAAGUUCUCAGACAUGCUGUCACAUGGGCAAACCUUGAAGAUAUUAUGCCAAGUGAAAUAAGCCAGUCAAAAAUACACAGAUGCUGUAAGAUUCAACGUUUAUGAAAUAUCUAGGGUCAUCACAUUCAUGGAGACAAAGUAGAAUAGGCAAAGCCAGGGGCUGGGGUGAGGUGGAAAUGGGGAGUCUUUAACUGGGUCUGGUUUCAAUUUUGCAAGAUGAAAGUUCUAGAGGCGGGUGCACACAGUAGGCAUGUUCUUAAUUGACACCACUGAAUGUAAAAAUGGUUAAGAUGAGCAAUUUUAUGUUAUAUGUACUUUUGUUAUAAUUUUUUAUAGAUAAAGAAAAGAAUAUAUGACUGAAAUAUGUACUGUGUCUGUACUUGCACCAGAAGUUCAAGUUCUCUUUGGAACAUUUUUAUUUUUAUUUUUUUUAACUGCAAUGCUGCUUCAGGAGUACUUGAAGUAAUAAGCAUCUGGAAUACUUGAAAUCAUGAGACUCUGGAGUUUGUCAUUGGGACGACAUGAGAGUCCAGUGAGAGGAUGACAGAAGGGUCCCUAAUGAUGCUAGGGUCUGAGAGCUGGUUUGAGUCCCAAAGAAGUGUGGUCAUGACUUUGACCUUUUAGAUGAUUUCUCAGACAGACCCAGCCGUUCGGGUCUUCACGUGCUCUGAGGACCUGUAACAAAUAAGUUUUAUGCAUUGAAGCUAAUAAGCUGUAAAAGUUUCCUGCAGUGGGCACUUAAAAACCACUCUCUUCAUUGCCGUCUUUAAAAUGCAUUCAUUUAGCUGUCAUAUCGUUGCCAUUUUCUUAACUGUUAGGUUCAACAUCAUUUCACUUUCCCUACGACUGCCUUUCCUUUUUGAUUUUUUCCACAGUUCCUCCUUCUAGCAUUCAGCGGCCUGCUUUCUUUUGAGAACAAAACGUUUGGCAAUGGCCUCUUUGGCUGCAAAAGUGUUGAACAGGUUUUAAGCCCUUGGUUUUCCCUGCUGGCCCUAAUCCCUUGCCCAUUACAUAAAGGGACCUCGUAGAUCCUGAGACUGCAGGGGGACAUUUGUGCUGAGGCUCACUGUCGGGGACCACUUGGUAAGGUCGCUGUGGAUGUGUCCUUGUCAGGCACCUUCGAAGAGGAUGCUGCCAGGGCUGGAAACGGGGUGCACCAGGCAGGGGUGUUGGGUAGCCGCCACCCUCCUGCAUGCCCAUUGGUCCCUUCCAGAAGGACAGCUCUGCUUCCUGCCAGGGCUGGGAGGUUGGACUGUAGUCCUGGCCCCGAGUGCAGCAGCGCCUUGUCCUUAAACGCGGCCACACCACUUCGGAUUCCUGGCACAUAUUUGCUCCCUCUCUAUUGAGGUUUUCCUCAGUGCUACAUUACCCUCUAGGAGUCCGCAACCUAAAAUUAGUCUUGACCUUGAUAUAACUGUAAAAUUCAAUAUGCAACCUAAGCAGAAAUUAAAUAUGGCCAUGUACUGCAUCUUAUUCACUAUUAAUAUGUUUAUCAGUAACUGACACAAUCAGGUUUGUAACUAUACAGUUAAAUUUUUUCACAUGGUCGCUAACAAUGUUUUUGCAUGAUCACUCUGUACUGCAAGCAAUCCUCCCAACUCUAUGAGGUGGGCACUAUUAUGAUCCUGUUUUCCACAUGGGGAAAUUGAGGCACAGAGAGACAGAAACUCCCCCAAACCCCAAAGCUAGAAAAUGGUGGAGUUGAGAUUGAAUUUAGGUAGUGUUUUUUUGUUUUGUGUUUUCCCUGACUCUGGCAGUGGGACUCCCAGCCCUGCACUGGAGAACAGUUUGGCAUCCACAGACCCAACCAGCCAGGGAUUGAAAAUAUUCAGGAAAAAAAAUUUUGUCUGUAGUGAAUAAAAACAGGCUUUUGGGACUCAUGAGUACCUCAACAAUACAGUCUAACAACUGCUUAUAUAGCUUUUACUCUGUAUUAGAGAUAAGCAACUUAGAGAUGAUUUAAAAUAUGUAAGAGGAUGUGUGUAGGAUCUGUAAGAGGAUGUGUGAUGCAUAUCAAGGGAUGACUGUCUGUCACAAGGUGCAUCACAUGGGACACAGUCCCAGACAAUGUGAUGCGCAUGUCCAGACAGAAAGGGUGUUUUGGACCAAAUGUCUGUGCCCCACCCCCAAAUCCACACAUCGAGCUGUGACCCUGAAUGUGAUGUAUUUGGAGGUAGGCCCUUUGUAAGGUAAAAUUUUAGAUAAGGUCCGAGCUCACUCACUCUCCAUGGCAAGAGCACAUGUGAGCUGCAAGCCAGGAAGUGGCCCUCACCAGGAACAUACUUAAUCUUGGAACUGUGAGGAAUCAGCUCAGACCGCCCCCCCCCCCAUGGUAUUUUGUUAUAGCAGCCAAGGGAAUUGAGGAAGAGGGUAGUGCUCCAAAGGCUCUGGAAAGUCCUGCAGUAAAGAAAGCCAUUUAAAUGUGUUUAACCAAUUGCUUGCCAAACCUUUUGGACUGUGUAACAUCUUCCACUUGGGAAUAUCUCAAAGAACACACAGGGAAGGUACACUGGAUACACGUCAUGCUUGCAUGCCUGUCUUCCAGUGGGAUGUAACAGCCCAGGAAGUCAGAGGUGGUGGAGGUGGAGGUUAAGCAGAGAUCAAAAGCAGAAAUGCAAGGCAAGCAGAGCCUGAGAACAAUGAGUGGGCAGAGGGCUGUAACCCAGACAUGAGAUGGACAGGGCCAUUGCAGAGAGAAAAAGAGCCCAGAUAUUCCAGAACAUUGGAGAAGGUAAGAGAGAAAGAUUGAAGGACAUUGUUCCUAGGACAACUGGCAAGAACGAACAGUUAAAGAGCAGAGUAUAGGGUCUGCUCUGGAUGAAGGAGUUGGUUCUAUGAUCAGAAAAGACAUUAUAGUAUGAAGUGUUAGUUUGAAUACAGGAGGAUGGGUAACAAAUGACUCCCAGGGUUAUUGUGUCAUCUGUGCUGGAAAGUGUCAUAUACGGUGCCUCUUUGAAAUUCAGUACAGAGGCUAGGGUGUUGCUCAGUGGUAGAGCUCAUGCUCAGUGUGUACCAAAUGGAAAAAGGAAGGAAGGAAGGAAGGAAGGAAGGGAGGAAUCCAAUAGAGGCUGAUUUUCUAAAAUUGUCAUAAUUAUUUUCUUAAUUUAAAGAUGUGGUUGAGCAAGAGCACAGAAAGAUCUUGCUUGACCACAGUAGGAUCCAACAAACAUUUGCUGAAUAUACUGAAAGGACAGAACAGGGAGGAUUUGUUGCAUAAUUGGGGGAUUUAACAUUUCUUCAAUGAAAUAUCAGUUAUUAUCAAGCCAGUUAGAUAUUUUGUAUAGUUUAUGCUUAUUUUAGGAUAGACAGCUAUUCAUGGAGAAAGCCACUGAAUUGCUGCAUAUGAUUAGGAUGAGAUUUCAAGUCUGUUUUUAUUUCAGAUGAUGGGGUUGACCUAGAUGGUCUUAAAGAUCUGUUCAAAUCUAUUUUCCUAAGAUUCUUUGUUCUUGGUAACAUGCCAGAGGAAGUUUAGGGGUGGGAGGCGGAAUUGUGUCAUUCAGAGGGGGCACAUUAAUACAAUUCAAACAAUACAUUUGUAGUGGGCAUUAACACAUACAUCAGUUGUACAAGCAGAAAGAAAGAAAGAAAGAAAUUUGAAUUUGCUCUUUAAGCAGAAGAAUAUUCAAACAUAAAUGGCCUCAAUCAUUUAAUACUGACAAUAUGGUUAUUAUGCAGGCAGGAUCCCUCCCUCCACCUACAAAGAAGUGAGCUUCUGAUGGUCUCUUUAUUUAAAACGAAUUGAAAGUUUGACAUCAAUAAUUAUCUCUUUGAAUUGGAAAGUACUGAGGUUUUAUGCAUGUCACCCAGAGCAAACGCUAUUUCCAGUUUCUGGAUUCAUACAUUCACCUACAAUCGCCAACAGCAUGCAAAUGUUUUGUCUUGCGGCCAUGCCAAGUGGACUUUGCAAAUAUCUGAUCAUCGGUGCCAUCUAUUGGUGAAAUGCAGUAUUGACGACCUAUGGUGUGCAGAACCUGGCAGGUGGAGGGCUUCAAGGACAGGUUAGAGAGGGAUUCUAUAUGUAAAAACAGUGUGAAUCUGUCUUUGGUGAGACAAUUACACAUUUGAACAUUGAUAGGAUGUUUUGUAGUAGUAAGAAAUCAUUUUUUAUUUUUAGUUGUAAUUUUGGUAUUGUGGUUGUGUUAAAACAUCCAUACGUUUUCAGGCUACGUACUGAGAUAUUUCUGGAUGAACUAAAAUGAAAAUGUGGAACUUGCUUUUAAAAUAAUAUUAGCAAUUCUGAAGAAAACUUGGAGACAUUUAUAUUAAAUGACAUAAGCCAGACACAAAAGUUCCAAUACUGUGUCUCCACUUCUGUGAAGUGCCUAGAGUAGUCAAAUUCAUGGAGACAGAAAGCAGAAUGGUAGUUGCCAGAGGAUGGAGGAGAAGAAAGGGAGUUAGUGCUUAAUGGGUUUGGAGUUUCAAUUCUGCAAGAUGAAAAGAGUUCUGGACGUCGGUGGCGGUGAUGGCUGCACAACCUUGUGAAUGUAUCCAACAUUGCUGAGCUGUACAAUUCAAAUGGCUCAAAUGAUAAAUGUUAUGUGUAUUUUCCACAAAACAAAACAAACAAACAAACAAACAAAAACCCUGGAAUCAUGGGGAAUGGAAAUUCAGAUGUGGCAAGACUGGUCAUGAGCAUCUCAGAGUUUAUAGUCCUCUCUGUAUUUUUUAUGCUAAAAGUUCUCUGUAAUGAAAAGUUUCUCUCUUUUUUUUUCUAGAGAAACUUCAAUGUAGGAGAAGAAAUAAAACACAAACAUGAAUCAUUUCCAAAUGAUGAAAAAAGCUAAACUAAGAGAAAUGCAGAGGAAAUUUUAAGCACUCCUACACAUCUGCAGAUGAACCCAAAGGCCAAACUUGGAGUAACAGUGACACCACCUUAACCGGUCUAAAGUAUUAUUUGUAAAAGGUGAAAGACCUACGCUAUCUGAAGGGAAGCCAGAAUUUGUCUUCAGCAUGAUUCGUGCUGAAUUUUCAAAAAUGGUUUUUGUGAUAUCUGUGUAAAGUGCUCUUCACUGUGGCCUUCUAAGAGAAAAACAGAAAAGUAAAUUCUGCAAAUGGCAGACAGUCAUCUUAGGAAGCUCAGUGUUAUGAGUAAGAGGAGCUAGGAUGGCAGAGGCUUGGCAAGAAUGUUCUAGAAGCAACAUCAGAGGUUGCCAGAACAAAUUGUCUAUGAGAACAGCCCCUGAUCACUCAGGUGGGCAUCAAUUGGGCACAGGUUAGAACCAUACAAAAGAGCAACAGACUGGAUAAGGAAAGUUCAAACUCCAGUGAAACCCAGCACAAGGACAACAGCAGCUGUGACAACAGCAAAAUCUCCACCCUGGUCAAUAUUUUCAACCCUAUUUCUCCACCACAAACUUCAUUUAAGUUUUCCAUGUGGCACUCAACUAUAAGGUACUGUGUUGAGCACUGGGGAUAGGAAGUAGGUGGAGGGUAGUUGCCUCUAGCUAAACUGCUCAUUACAUAGCAGGGUGGACACACAUGCACAAUUAACAUGCUAAAAUCAACGUGGCUAGUGGAUUAUAUGGGCCAGGAUGAAAAAUAAAAGCUACAGGAACAAAAAGCAAGGCAUCUUUCAUCAUGCUUGGGUGCCCGUGAAGCAGGUACACCCAGCACUGGUUUCUAGUCCUGGGGGAGGGAGACUGACACUGCAUGCAGAAUAGCACAGAUCAUCACCCACCAGCAACAGAAGUCCAAAUACCUGACCCCCGCGUCGUGGGCUGCAAUUUCUACCAUUUGCUUGAGUGAGACAGAAUACUCCUAUCGGUGAAGCAACUUUAUUACUCACAGAGAGCAAGGAAUAACACAAGCCUAGGAUUCAUGAUGAGCUGGUCCUUCAAGGUUGAGGAAAGCUGCCCAGGGUGGACAGAAACUUGUCUGCACAUGUCCCACCCAGCACAGCAGCUGAGGGACCCUGAAAGCACUCUGCUGAAUUUUCUUUUUUUUUUUAAUAUUUUUUUAAAAUUUUUUUUAAGAGAGAGAGAGAGAAUUUUUUAAUAUUUAUUUUUCAGUUUUUGGCGGACACAACAUCUUUGUUGGUAUGUGGUGCUGAGGAUCGAACCCGGACCGCACGCAUGCCAGGCGAGCGCGCUACUGCUUGAGCCACAUCCCCAGCCCCACUCUGCUGAAUUUUCUACUCCAGGAGCAACUUGGGAUGGCUGGGCUAAGGUGUCACACAAUACCCUGUUGUAGGAAAGACAGGAACAGGCCCUGGAUGUUCUGGAAAGUUCCUCCUUAUCUCAGGAUGUUGCUUUACCAGAGUAUUCUACAGUUAAUCUGAGAACUACAAGUGAGAAAGGAGAGAAGUGCUGGGUCACCAAAGUCAAUACAGGCCUCCUGCCUGGUCAUCUACAGCUGUUCACAGGCCAGAGGGCGGCCUGUGCUUGAACUUGCAGAUUGUGUGUCUCUUGCUGGAGCAGCAGGAUCCCCAUGGCUGAAAGAGAGAUAGGACUAAAGUGGGAAGAGAAGCAGGUGAAGCCACGGGGCAGCUCUUCCCUUCCUGUCACCUUCUGGCUUGAGCAGAAUCCAGAGGUCCUGCCUGCUGGGUAGUUCCACAAGUACUUUUGAAAGUUGGUCAGCUUGCUUUGUAGCUUCUAAAUACUUAAACCUUUAAUGACAGAUCUAUUGAAUCCUCCUCAAACCCGAUUCUGAGGACCACCUGCAGCUCAAUUCACAGGAAUCGUUUCAAAGGCAAAUUCCCAGUCACUCCUGUCACCUCCCUGGAUUGAAUCUGUGGCUUGCAGUCUAGAGCUUCCCUCAUGAUUUUGAUCCAUGGCAGAGUUUCAGAAAUACUUGUAACCGGGGUAGAGUGGAGAGGAGCUGGCCCCCCUGGUCAGGAAGCUUCAGGGAGGGAGGGAGUUAGGUCCGGGGAAGAUGCUGGGAAGGACCAGCACCUGCUUCCUAAUCGCCUCAUUAGCUCUUGCAUCUGGCCUGAGCCCCAGGCCCGGGAGCUGGCUGCAGAGACAUUUUCUGACAAAACAGGGCAACAGCAUCCUGCCACCGAACGUGGGAUUUUCGUGGGCUUCCCUGCAAACAGAAGUGUCAAGUCAACAUGAAAUAGAGAGCAAAAGCAUCGACAGGAGCCUGGAGCAGUCACUCUCAAUCAGGAAUUUAGGCUGCAGUCACUGCAAAUCCUUGGUCAGGUGAGACCCCCUGGAGUCUUCCAGGGGACUUGGGAGGAGCUGGAACAAACUGUGGCAUCCAUCACCCUGGGUUCCAAUCCUUCAUCUGUCACCAGCUGUGUGACCUUGGGAAAGUUAUUCAAGUCCUUUAGGUUGGUUUCUUAUCUGUAAGAUGGGAUCCUGACACCUUCUAGACCUUACGAUAAUUAAGUAAAAAAUCCAUCCUUACCACAAAGACCUAAGUAAGUGCUGGCAGCUGUUUAUUAUGAAGCUUCCUGGUGCUUGAUCUCACCAGCACUUAGCUCUGGCUGAUGAAAUGAAUUUCCUCAAACCCCCAGCACAGGAAGCUCUGAGAAUGCUGUUGCAGCCCUGUGCCAGGGGGUGCUUGGCCAGUGACUUAUAAGGCCCUAGGAUUUUCCUAUGAAGGACCAGCUCCUGAAGUCACACAGUCACCUGUGCAUGGGCACACUGUUAAAGAUAAUUCCACCUGUCAAAACACAUGCUGGGAUCCUCUCUCACAGGUUGAACUUUGCGCCUCAGUGAAACCUCCUGUGAUAGCUGUGCCAUACUGAAAGUCACCACUAGGGGGAAGCAGAAUCCAAGCAAUCUGCAAAAACAACACAAAAACUGCAAAAUGUGACCCAGGAAGCCAAAAAGAGAUGAGAGGGACCAAGACCCCAAGUGAACCCUCCCUGUCCACCCUACCUCUGUGCACAUACACGCAUACUCUUGCUCUUGAGUCACUUAUCCUUCUUUCACUGUUUGCUGAUUCUGACACAGUACAGUUUAUCUUCCAUAUGGAACAAAAUGGUUCUUUAACUUGGCUACAUGUUCCAAUCACCCAUGAGUCCUGCAAGAAUCAACUUUUUAAAACACCAGAAGAGACUCCAAUUUGUAGGCAAAUUUGAGAACCACUGUGUUAUGGAAAAGAUUUCAUUUCUUCCCAAAUGGAGACUGUGUUUCAUUGCUAGAAGUUUCCUCCAAGAAAACUCCCUCACUAAUCGCAUAUUCUUCUCCACCUUUCAGUGCUCGGUCUGUGGUUACUAUGCAGAUUUGGAUUCACUAGGUCAGGAGUGAUCAGCCUCUGCAUUUCUACUAAGUUAUGGAUGCUGCUGUGCUGCUGGCCACAGACCAUACCAGUAAGCACAUUUCUGCACCCGUCUUUACUGAUGUUCUCCAACUGUUUUGAGUUCUUUUUCUGCAGUACUGGUGAUUGAACCCAGUGCCUUGCAAUGCUAGACAAGUGCAUCCCCAGCCUUUUUAAAUUUUGAGAUGGAGACUUGUUAAAUUGUUCAGGCUGGCUUAUGACUUGUAAUUCUCCUGCCUCUGAGUAGCUCACAUUACAACCAAGCCUGUCUGGAGGUGUGCUUUCCAAAUGCAACCCAUCAACCCAGAGUCCUACCCCAACCCAUUCUAUUUUUUUUUUCUUACUCUCUGGGCCACUGUUCCCCUGUCCCUAACACCUCAGGUACCACACAACUGGGCCUGCUGAAAUGAUUUCAACCAGCCAAUUCUAAACCUGCUCACCCUGCUUCUCCCCUUUCUUCUCAGGGUUUCCCUCUGCUCUGCCUCCUGAGGGCCCUCCCUGGCCUCUGUGGCAUGACUGCCCCUUCUCUUGGGACCUGUGGGUAAUAACUGUCUUUUCAGUGAAAGUGGUCUCCUGAUCUGUUGGCCUCACCACUGCUGAAUACUAACGAAACCUGUUAAGAUGGCUUUCCUGGCAGAACAGAGAGAGUGGCUGGUUCCUGACCCUUCAUCCCCAUCCCAGUCCUCUAUGGUCCCUGCUAGGUGCCAAUGCUAUGAUCCCACAAAGAAAAGAGCUCAGUAAUUGCUGAAUAAGUAUCAAUGGAUGGAUGUGUUUAGAGUUUGAGACCUUGAUAUGCCACCGACCAAUUGUGAGAGGGGCUCAUCUCCGAGUCUCAGUUCCUUCUCCUCUUUGAUCUAUCCUGUAGUUCCGUUGUGAAGCCAAAGGCAAUAACACAUAUUCAAGUGUCCCUUUUGUUAGCAGAGUAGCAGCUUCCGCUGUCCCCCUGUUGCCUAGGGAUCUUCAUACAUAUCUACUCUUGAAUCUUCAAAUCUCCAGCUUCAGCUUCUGAGGUCUGGAUGUUUGAGUCCCUCCCAAAGGUGAUGGCCUUGGGAGAUAGGGCCUUAGAUCUUGAAGGUGAAGCCCCAUGAAUAAGAUUAGUGCUCCCAUAAAGAAGGCUGCAGAGUCGCCCCAUUCUUUCUGCCCUGCCAGGAUGCAGGAAGUGCCCUCUAAGAAUCAGGAAAUGGGCCAUCACCAUGCACUGAAUCUGCUGGACCUUGGUCUCCUGAACUCUGAGAAAUGCAUUUCUACUGUCUGUUAGUUAUCCAGUGAAAGGUUUGGGUUUUUGUUUUGUUUUGUUUUGUUUUUAAUAGACGUCAGAAUGGACUAAAACACCAACUCAGACUCAAAGACAUUCUUUUCCCUCCAGCCUGUGCUCCAACAUGUCUUCAUCUCUUUCAGUUCCUCGAAUUCACCAAACUCUCUUUAGGUUUAGACCUUUGGACUGGUCUUUCCCCUGCCUAAAAACUCCCCUCCCCUAUUUUCUUGACUACUACUACUCAGCCUUCAGGUCCCAAGUGAAAUAUCAUUGGGGGCGAGGCUCCUCCCCUCCUUGAGGUCAGGACUUGGCCCUCCCCUGUCUGCAAGCUCACUGCCCUUUCUCACCUCCUUCCCCCUCUAUCCUGGAAGGGCAGAAACAGUGGCUCCUUCCUCCCCCUGCACUUGUCCCAGAGCCUGGCCCACAGGGGCUCAGGUGUUUGCUGGAUGACUUUGGAUGAACCACACAGAACUGAGGUGACUAAGUUUCCAAGUCCCAAAUUUGUCCUCUUGCUUCUCUUUCACACUUGGACCAAGAACUUAACUGAUAACUAAACCUCGAAGGGUAUAUCAGUAGAAGAGACGAGCGUAUUAUUUGGACAGAAGACAGCUGAAUUGGAAAGAGGAGGAAGAAUCGAACAUGGCGGCUCAGACACACGCGGCCAACAGGGAUUGGUGUGAUUCCCAGCCUCUUUUUUUUUUUUGUAUCAGGAAUUGAACCCAGGGGCACUUAACUGAUCCAUAUCCCCAACUCCCCUCCUUUAUAAAAAAUAUAUUUUAUGUAGAGACAGGGUAUCACUGAGUUGCUUGGGGCCUUGCUAAGUUGCUGAGGCUGGCUUUGAACUCUCCAUACUCCUGCCUCAGCCUCCCGAGCUGCUGGGAUUACAGGCAUGCGCCAUUGCACCUGGUAAGAGCCUGUCUUUUCCCUGGAAAGAAGGGACCCUAAGAUAAGAGUGCCAUGGACUGUCCCAAAGGACUCGUUCUGGUUUAUUCUCUGAUAUGUUGAGUGGGUGAGCUGUAAGCAGAAGCUGAACUUGGAUGUGGAGAAAAAAGGGUAGGGAAGUGCGUGUGGUAUUUCUUUGAGUAGUCAGCUGCUUCUCUUUACCCUAAAUGAGCUGCUUUAAUUGAGGUAUCACACAAAUUAUAGAAUAUCUAUUUCUCAUCCAAUCUCAGGGUAAGAAGGUCAUUGAUGGUUUCAAGUUCCAUCUUUCAGCCUCUGCAGAAAUUCCCCUGGCAUAUUUCUGAGCAAAAUUCACUAACCCUCAGCUCUCUGCUAACUAAAGGGGCAGCCACUUCCAUAUUUGAAGGAGGUUUAAUUGUUAGAAAAUUCCCUGUAACCUAGAGCCUUGCGUGAGUGAGUGGUUUAGUGAAUGAGAUCAAUAGAUACAGGUGACAUUUACAACUAGGAGAGUAGAAAUUAUUUUAAACAUUGUGUGGUCUUUAAAUAAAAGAUGGUAGGAAAAUGUCCUUAAAUGGUUGAAAUAGUUUCCAGCUUUUACAUUGUACCAAUUAGCUGUUCUUGUCAAUGUGUUACCCAGACAAGUGAAAAAGAAAGUAGAUGCCCAGAUUUCCAGGUGACUGACCAGAUGUCUUGUACACAUUUUUUGAGUAUGCUGAGUGUUGAGGUUAAACUUUUAGAACUGGGGGAGAUGUAGAAGGGUUUGGGCAGCCAGGGCAAGACGGUGAGUGAGGAGUUUGGGGACAGGGCCCGAGCAAAGGAGCAUGGUGAGGUCCUUCUGAUGAGGUCAACUUCCUGCUUGACCAAAGUGCCUGUGGACACAAGCAGGGGACCCAGAUAAGCACUUCUGUACUCAUGCUCCUAAGCAGGGGAUCAAAGAGAAAAACUAAAACAGAUGCGUGGACAGAGGGGACAUCAAUCAGUAAUAGUGAGGAAAGCAUGGACAGGGGAGGAGACAAGGAAAAGAGCGAAUUCCGGAGACCAUAAAAAGAGCAGGCCCAGACUCCCCCACUGGAUUCCCUGCUCCGGGGCCCCUCCUCUCCGGAGAAGUCUGUCUCCGUUGCUUUUGCAAUAAACCUGCUGCUUGCUUGCUAUCUCUGUGUCUUCGUCCUCAAUUUGCUGAAUGGAGACAAGGAACCCAGCACCCCUAGAAGGUAAAA
rnacentral:lncRNA from 1 species